rnacentral:lncRNA from 1 species
UGGUGUUUGAUGUGACUUAAAUGGGGGGGUUUGGGUUGGCUGUGGCGGUGGAUUUUAAACAAAGAGGGAGUGACACAGAGAGAAGGAAAAGAAAGAAAGAAAAGAAGAAGAAGAAGAAAGAAGAAAGAAGAAAGAAGAAAGAAGAAAGAAGAAAGAAGAAGGGAAGGGAGUUUGAGGUGGAAGGGAGCCCCGGUUGCGCUGCUAGUUGAAGGGAAAAGCUUAGGUCUCCUUCUCCUCUAUGCAAAGACCUCGAUUUUUCAAAAAGAAAAAAGGUAAAUAUCCGUUCCUACCUAGUAUUCUAAAGAAUUUAGGCUAUAGAAAGGGUAGAUGACAGUUUUAGAGGUGGUUGAAAGAGGAAGAAUCGAAUUUCGACAAGUUUUUCCGGCACUGCGGAAAAACUGUGUUGAAAUCCUGAUUUUAGUGAAUUAUUUUGGGGGGUCAAUCGGCCUCCGAUAGCAAUGCAUGUUACUAUUCUGGAAACCCCUAUGAGUGUAGAAUGUUAGGUAAAAAUUUCAUAAAAUUUGGAGUUUGGAAAGUGGAUCAAAACUGGGAUGAAGUAACCCGCUGUCAGUCCGGGUUACUGUUCAUCCGAGAUGAAGAAGGUGAGAAAAAAAUGAAAAUGAAAAAAAAAAUGAUGGGGGUCGACUCUCUCUAAAAGUUUCAGAAAAUGGAACUUUCUGCUCUGUGGGCAGGGUCGACUCAUGGAAUUAGGGAUCGACUCAUGCCUCUGAGGGAUCGACUCACGAGGUAGGGGUCGACUCUCUCAGGGAGUCUAGAAAGUGAAGUUUGCGGCUCUGUGAUCGGGGUCGACUCAUGAGGUUGGGGUUGACUCACGCUUCAGUGAAAUUUUCAGUGAAGGAGGAAUUUGACUCUUUCUCGCACUUUAACCCUACCCUAUAGCAGUGGCCUAAGGUGUGUGUGUGUGAUGCUUUUGCAUCAUAAUACAUAUAAGGGGAAGAUUAAUUGAUAGGAAAAAAGAAAAAGGAAAGGAUUUAAAAAAAGGGGUAGUUGAAUCAAUUAAAGUUUCCUAUAUUUAUGAUUGGCACAUAGAUUAUGGCCCUUGAUAUAAGACUAAAUGUAUUGUAAAUGCAUGUAUCAGUUAAGCAAGGAACUAAGGAUCAAGAGGAAGAAGUCCCCUACUGCCUUCCAUAGAGUUUCGGAGGCGUAUCGGGACCGUGCCGGAUUGGCAGGUGAGUGGGAGUCAUGUACUUUGCAUCAUGAGCAUUCUUAAUUCAUUUUCAUGAAUAUCGCCAAGUGUGAAUUGAUUCCACUUGUGCAUAUUGAUUGAUAUGGUAAUAGAUUUCUUUAUAAUCUUAUUUCUCCAUGCUUGAUUAUUUUGUACAUGCAUUUGAGGGAACAUUGAGAGGAAUUACAAGAGAUAGAAGAGUAGUCAAAUUGGUUCCGAAUUGUGAAAUGACUUCUUUUGUAAAUUAGUUUCAUUUCCUCUAUUUCAAAGACUUGUAGAGCCUUUUCAGUGGUACAUUGAGUUGCAUUGCACUCCCUUGACCCCUCACUCCCAACCCUGAUGUUAGUUUAUGAUUGGGUCGUGGUUGAGUGAGUGGUAGUCUUGAUUAUACUCCUUUUUAGUAGAGUAUUGAGAGGGUGUAUUAUGGCAUUUAUGCAUGGCUUGGCAGUAUCUACAGGACACCUAUAGUCGAUGGGGUUAGACAUCGGCCUGUGUGCACAUAGUAGCCUUUUGGGUGGGCGGAGCCCAGUCCCUUCCUAGGGGGGAUACGGCCCUAGGCGUAGGAUCGGCCGGUCCUACGACUUAUAUUCUGCUUGCCGCCGGGCAUAGUAAUACCCCGCGAGGUGUAGUAUGGCUUUCCGCGGAUGUAGCAUUUCCGCGAGGUGCCGAUAGUAUUCAGUUGUGAGGUGAUUCUCACGGGUUUCUAUGGAUUUCGGUUCUAGAUACUGGCCAGCAUUUACAUGAUCAGUGUGGUCUCUUAUUUUGCAUAUGCAUGUGAUAAUAGUGAGUUGUUGUGGUUCGCCUGGGGCGUAAGACCCACCUUCCGACAGCUAUCUAGUGAUGACUUCGCAUAUUGACACCCUGAUUUAUGUUGUCCGAUUCCUGUUUACCUAAAAAUAUGCUAAACAGAUCGUUGUUAGAACCGACAAACAAAGUUUAAAUCAAUUUUACUCUUACCUGUUCUACUCGAAGAAUAGUUGUUGUAAGAUGUCGAUCCACAGAGAGGCGGUUGGAGUUGCUUAAAAAUAAAAACGUUCACUCGGAUUCGAAAUCGAUUUUUGAAUGAUAGCAGAAAAACAUUACGUCAGGGAUGUUGAAUGAUUCUCUAGUCUAUCAGAGAAUGUUUUCCAUUUGAAAAUAACGAAAAGACAGAUACUUGGAAUCGAAGAGCAUUUGUAAAUUUAAUAAAAUAUUUAACUAUUCAAAGGAAAACUUUGGCAUUGAUGAAAACAGUGCUUAGGAAGAUUGAAGCCUAGAACAUAGACUGAAUGAAAGAAAUUUUCAUAUAUUGCAACUAAAACAAGAAUUCUAGAAUGCAUAAAAUAAACUGCAGGAAUUAAACUUAACCUAAAACAUGAAUUGUAUAAAAGAAAAAUUAAUGGAUUGCAUAAAAGAACAAUUACAAAAGUAAAAUAAAGAUUGGAAGCCUAAUGCUUCCUUCUAUAGAAUAAAACAUAAAGAAAACAAAGAAAGAAAAACAAAUCACUUCUCUUCUCCCUCUCUCUCCCACGGUGGAACUUCAACAUAAAAUAUAAUUUUUUUUUUCUUUCUUCUUCCCAAAAGAAACAGAGCUCUCCCCUGUUCCUACAAAAUUUUUAAAACGGAGCUUCCCCUCACCAAGCUGAGAACACCCCACGCCCCUUUCUGUUUCUUGGCCUCCACCCCAACCGAGGACUCCCUUCUUCCUCUCGUUCUCCCCUUCUUAUAGAUCGCCAGAGCAUGGAGAGGAGGAGAAACGGGCGUGGGAUCUCGGGAGGUGGAUCCGUGGAUGAUGAUUCGGGAAGGAAGCUGGCUACGUCACCUUGAUCACGGACGGCUUGGAUCACGGGGACGUUGAUCACGGAAGAAGGCGCUGGAGAUUCGAGGUGAGACGGCGGCUUGAUCACAGCAUGGGAUCACUGGGCGGAUUGCGGAGGAGGGGGUCGAUGAUCGUUGGAGCUCGGACGCGGCGUCGGAGGCUGGGAUUUCGGGAUGCUGUGAGGAGGCGAUGAUGGCGUGAUCUAUGGAUGGCUGGGAAAUCGCUCGGGAUCAUUUGGAGGCUGCCGCGGGAUGGACGUGGCGGGUGUGGGACGAUGGCCGCUGAGAGAUUGCUGGGAAGACGCCAUUCACGGACGCGAUCUGUGUUCACGAGAAGUCUGGGACGUGGGUGGAAGAAGCCGGGAUGCGCUGAAUCCGGAGGGGGACGCGGGAUGAGAUGUUGAGUGCUAAUCCGCGUGCAAGUAUCAUUGACGGCUGAUGCUAAGGUUGGAAAAAUUCUGGGAGCACGGGAUGCCUGGUCGUUGAUCUGGGAGCUUGAACGGUUGAAGAUGAAGCAUGUAGCUAAUACUCAGAAUACUUCCCUAGCCACACAUUAUCUUCCUUUAUUUUGAAUUCUAAUGCACUCUAGAUUGUGACGUGCAGACAUGUGCUGCUCGGGUGCAAAUGUGCUUUGACUAGGUUCAAUUAUGCUCCAGUGUGAUCAGGCUUGGGGUUAUGAAUCAUCCCAAUCUGUGCCAAAUACAUAUUUAAACGAUAACCUGUGCAAACAAAAAUAUAAUAUUAAUCCAGUGAAUUUAUCAUUAUCGGUUAGCAAUAACACUAAUUUUAGUGAUAUGUAGGUCGCACUUUUGUGCUCUCAUCACACCCGCAAACUAGCUUAUUACUAGUCUCUAGCAAUUAACAAGCAAACGAUAAAAUGAGGGCACAAAAAGGUGUAGUCUAACUUAUGACUUUUUUUUUUUAAAUUGAAGCUAAAUACACAAAACUAAGAUAUGUACCCAUUUUCGUAGGGAGUCACGAUUGCACUUAGCACGUGCAACAAGCCUUUAAACCCCUAGGUUAUCCUAGUGGACGAGUGUUGUCUCGUGAGGGUUUACAGUGAAGUUACCCACAAACUUCCUCAGUUAGGGAUUUCCAAUUUUUAACUCGAAAUUUGAAUAAGUAUUACUGUAUGAAACUAGAAUUGCAAGGACAAUAGAGACUUAUUGCUAUCAUAUUUAAGCAGAGUCUAACUCAAGUUUCAUUACACCCUAUCUAUCUGCUAACAAGUCAAGAAUGUAGUGAGGUGCAAGAUAGUAUCAUAUAAAUGAGUGGCUUUCACUUACUUCCAACAUGAUCACUCCAAUUUUCAAGACUUUCUAGAGUUAAAUGGUAAUGAACACCCCAGAUUUAUUUAUUUAUUUAUUUAUUUUUUUAUCAGACUGAAUGCUUAGAAGAAUGACUUGUGCAAUAUCUAGCCUUAUUAAGCUUUCUAGCUGACCUAUGUAGCGAGUGUUAGGCCAAUGAUUUCCGAUCCAGAUGGCUCAGGGUACUAGGUGUAGAGACACCUUAACGGGCUUAAUAACUCAAGUUAACUAGGCUUCAAGGCCAAAUUAGUCACUCAGAGUUUAAUCUCAAUCAUCCUCACCUUUUUACGCGAACACUCGCUGCUUGCCAGGCAAGAGGCCCGGUUACUCGUUGCUAUCAUAUUUCUUAACUCAAAGCUAUUGUCAAAGCAAUUCCUAGUUUGUACAGCCAAAAAGAUUAGAAUUUGAGUUAAAAAUUUGAAAUUCUUUUUUUUAAAGAGAAAGACAGAAAAAUCAAAAAUAUUCUCACCUCCAUUCCUAAAUUCAGCAUUGUCCUCAAUGUUGAGAAAAUUACAACAAUAAUAGGAUAGAUGAGACAUUACCUGAUUUUGGACCUUGAUAUGGCAGGAUAACUUGAAGAUUGGGGAAAAUACCCCCAAACCUGCAUGUUAGUAAUUUAUUGAAAUUUGUUUCUUUUUUUUAAUUAUUAUUAUUAUUUUUUUAAUAUUUACAUGUUGGGUUGCCUCCCAAGAGCGCUAAGUUUUAUGUCUUCAGCCAAACAAUUCCGAUUCACUCAUAAUAGACAGGGUCGGUCAGAAGUGUCUCCUCAACUUCUGGACUCAGAUACUCAAGGUAUGGUUUUAAACGAUGUCCAUUAACUUGAAACGACCUACCAUCCUUAGUAUUGCAUAUUACUACCGCACCAUGCGGAUGCACUUUCUCUACCGUGUAUGGGCCAGUCCAGCGAGAUUUAAGUUUUUCAGGGAAUAGAUGUAAUCGAGAAUCAUAUAAGAGAACUUUUUGUCCUUGGUGAAACUCUUUACGAGUAAUCAUUUUAUCAUGCAUGACUUUCAUGCGAUCCUUGUACUUCUUAACACACUCGUAAGCAUCGUUCCUAAUUUCUUCAAGCUCAUCAAGCUGAAGCUUUCUAUGUUCUCCCACCUUGUCGAGAUCGAAAUUUAGGCGUUUGAUUGCCCAAUAGGCCUUGUGUUCUAACUCGAUAGGUAAAUGGCAAGCCUUGUGUUNNNNNNNNNNNNNNNNNNNNNNNNNNNNNNNNNNNNNNNNNNNNNNNNNNNNNNNNNNNNNNNNNNNNNNNNNNNNNNNNNNNNNNNNNNNNNNNNNNNNNNNNNNNNNNNNNNNNNNNNNNNNNNNNNNNNNNNNNNNNNNNNNNNNNNNNNNNNNNNNNNNNNNNNNNNNNNNNNNNNNNNNNNNNNNNNNNNNNNNNNNNNNNNNNNNNNNNNNNNNNNNNNNNNNNNNNNNNNNNNNNNNNNNNNNNNNNNNNNNNNNNNNNNNNNNNNNNNNNNNNNNNNNNNNNNNNNNNNNNNNNNNNNNNNNNNNNNNNNNNNNNNNNNNNNNNNNNNNNNNNNNNNNNNNNNNNNNNNNNNNNNNNNNNNNNNNNNNNNNNNNNNNNNNNNNNNNNNNNNNNNNNNNNNNNNNNNNNNNNNNNNNNNNNNNNNNNNNNNNNNNNNNNNNNNNNNNNNNNNNNNNNNNNNNNNUCUGGUGCGGAGAAAGGAUGGGUUCUCGAUGAAGAUAUGCUUUCUCUCGAUAUUUUCUUUGAAUGUCCUUUGAGCUCUUAUUUCAAAUGAUUUACUUGAUCUCCCCUUUUUGGAUUUUUUGUGUGUGUCACUGUUCCACUUAGAACGGAUCUUCUUAUAGCUCUGUUUUGAAAAGCUAGCCAUUAGACACAGAAGAAUAGCCGUUCUGUCGCGCCUGGCACUUUUGACAAAAUGUCCGUUGAAACUGGAGUCGUCUCGCUCAUCCAGGAGUCAGCUCGACUGAAGUGGGAGACGUCUUGCACGAUUCUGGAGUCGGCUUUGGCUCGGGAUCCCUCUGACAGAUUAUCGGUCGAUUUUUGUUGGAGUCGGCUCGCACGAUUCGGAAGUCAUCUCGCAUCCUGCUUCAUCGAAAACGAGUUUUCUGUCUUGUCUGAGAGAGUCGACUCGUAAUAGUUGGGAGUCGACUCGCGCUUUGCGAUCCGAAAUACACUUUCUGUCUCUCUGAGAGAGUCGUCUCGUAACAGUUAGGAGUCGUCUCGUGCUUUGUCCGAGGGAUGGGAAAUGGCUCGCGCUUGACUCAAGUCGUCUCACGCUUUGCGAUCCGAAAUACCUCUUUCUGUCUAUCUCAUAGAGUCGACUUGCGCUUUGUGGAGACGGCUCGAGGGUGUACCAGAAUGCCAUGCUUGUGCCGGAGUCGACUCGUACUUCCUGGAAGUCGACUCGAGUUCUGAAAAAUGCUUGAAUGGUUCCAAAACUUGAGUCUAAGAUCCAUGAACCAUUUCUAAGAAAUUCUUUUGAAGUUAUAGCAUUGUUACCCUGAAAAUACUUGUUUAAAACUGUUAGUCCAACAAAGAAUGCACUCGAAAUGUUUUGGCACAUCAAAACUAAGUAGGGGAUCAAUCAAUUACUCAGCACCCUCCCUUCCUUCUCUCCCUCUCUCUCUUCCUCUUUCUUCCCUUCUCCAUCUCUCUCCCUUUCGAACUGAAGUAAUCAACUGUGCUUGCCCUUUUCAAACUUUUCCUUGAAACUUUUUCUUCUCUCUCACUUCCUUUUAAGUUUUGACUAGAAAGAGAUAAUACUGCAUUACUUUUGAUUUAUAAACUCUCGGUGCCUAGAAUUUUUGUUUCCCUUACAAAUAUUUAUCUUGAGUUUUGAAUUUCCAUUUUUCUUUAAAAAAAAGAAAUGAAAUCAAUACUUAACUAGCCCUAACGGAUACCGAAUAUUUGAAAUAUGAAAUAUUUUUUUCUCUAUUCUAGUUCAUUGAUAGUUAAAAAAAGCAAAAAUCCAUCGAAGAGUAAAAUUCAGAUUUUAGCCAAUAGUUCUUCAAAUAGUAUUGAUUAAAUAAUGUUGUUGUUAAUUCAUAUUAUUUGAUGUAGUGUAGAACAUUUUUCAUUCCCACCAAGUGGUUGUGAUAAUUUCUUUUGUUUCUUAUGCAUCAAUAUUACCUUAUGACAAGAUUGCAUGUGAGUGGAUGUCGAUCAACAUGACUACACAAGGAGAGUGAUCUGGAUUUUAUCAUAUCAUGUGAACUUUUAUUUUCAAUCUCAUUAACCAUCUUUCAAUUAGAACUAUUCUGGGUUGUAAUAUAUAAUUUUUAACUCAUAAUUAUCAAAUAUUCUCCUUUGGCUUUGAUUUGGUACAACUUUUUAAAAACUUAAGAGUUAUCCAAAGAUAAAUGGAUUUGGUUAUGUUUUUUGGAAUUGCCGCGAUUUUUUAGUUGCUAUGCAAUUGGUUCAUAAUUGACACAAACUUUUCAAUAUAUUAAAAUAUUUUCUAGGACUGAAGCAACCUUCUACAUCGAACUUAGAGUUCUAUUAGACUAAUUUCUGUUAUUUGCCUGUAAGGUUUUGUGCUCCCAAUAUUAGCUUUGCUUUCUAUGGCUUUAAAUAGGUAUAGGUCUUUGCUUGGUUAGUAUAAGAGCAUUUUUAAUAUCAUCACCUUCCUUUCAUUUCUUUUUUUCUUAGCAUAAGAGAAGAAAGAAAUAUAUUGGGCUCUCAUGAAAUAGUAACAUUUAGCACCUUCACUUCCAAGGUAUUUUAGCUGAUGUUGUAGAAUCUGUAGAGCUAUGGUCUUUGAAAAGCCUAACCUAGUAAAUUCAAAUGGCCUGUCUUUCUCUAUGGCUAGCAAGCUAUUCUUUUUCUUUGCUGGAUGAUGAUUUUGUAUUACAUUAUGUUAAAUUGGCAAAUAAAACUCUAGUUUGGCAUGCAAAUUAAUUAUAUGCCUAUCAAAAAUAAAUUUUUAUUUACUUUUUUCAAGCCAACAUAAAUAGAUCUUGGUCUAGAUUUAGGGAUCUUUUGGUUUGAAUAAAAUAUGAUCAGUUUUGAAAGUCUUUGUUAGUAAAACCCAGUUAGCUAUGUAUAUUGCUGCUUUGACUUUGAAAUACUAAAGGUUUUUCCACCUAACCUUGGAUCAUGUAACCAUAGACCUAUUGCUCAACGUGAGACUAUCACUUUUGACCGGCAUUCUCCCUUGUAUGAGUGACCAAGUGAGGAUGUAGAUGCCAGGACUAACAUAAAUCACAUCUUUCUUUUUGAUAUCUAUAGGUUUUCAUAUGUGAAUGGUGUUGAAGGGAAGACUCUUGAGUAGUUUCUUUCCAACUAUUAUCAAUUUUUUUUAGGAUAGAGCCGCUCCAUACAUACUUAAACCAACAUAUGGGCUAAACAAGUAAAUGGCAUGACAUAUUUUAAACCAAUUAAAGAAAUCUAUUGAUCAUUUUGUCUAACUUGAUAAGUAAAAUUGUAAAUUGUAAAUCGACUUGAAUUUUUAUGAACCACAUACUAGUUUCCCAUCUAUUUAUCUUGAUGGCAUGUAUCUAGUUCUUUUUUCUUUUUUUUUCCAGUAACUAGUGUAGAAAAAAAUAAUGCAUAGCAUAUCUAUCAUAAGCAAUAUCUCAGCUUUUAUUUUCAUAGCAAUAUGGAUGCACCCUCUGUUGCAUCUACUAUAAGCAAAGGCCUUGGAGUCUGACUAUGCAUGGUCAGCCUCUAAAGCCUUUUGUGAUAUACACAUCGCAAUUAUCCAUCUCUUUGUACCAAGGAAUUCUUAAGGCCUUCAGUUCAAUUUUGCAUGUCCUUCUCCCAUGUAUUAUUCUUAUAAUAGAAAAAUUUAAAAGAGUUUCAACCAUACAUCCCACCAAACACACCAAUCUCUCCACCUUUAUAACCAUUCUUACCAUUAAUAAAUACAUUUCACUUGAGAUAGGGAACAACAAAAGUCGACUUCCAAAGACUAGAGCAUAUUAACAAAAUGCAUAAACACAAAACUAAUAGAGAACAAGUUUAACAUGGAAAGGUCAUAACCAUCCUUCCUCCUAUAGUGCAUCCCCAUUAAUAUUAUAAGAGUGUUACUUGUAAGGUACAUGAUUAGAUGUUAAGUCAUUAUUUGAUUCAAUAUUUUAGAUAAUACUUCGAUCAUUAGAAGACUAAGUGCUGGCUUUUGAAAUAUUGUGUCUGUUAACCAUAGACAUGUACAUAGGAGUUGCAUAUUUUGGGUCUUUUUAUUUUUUUCUGUUAAGACUUUUUUGGAUUUGUUUAUACAAAGGGGUGCUUUGAUGAGCUGUUACAGACAUGGGCAUAGAAGUUGCAUUUUUUUUGGUCAUUUAUUAAUGUUGUUUUCAUUUUUUUUCCUUUUAAGACUUUUCUAGUUGCUUUUAUACAAAUGGCCGGGUGCUUUGAUGAGUUGUUUUGAUCCAUUAUUUCUUACGAUCCAAUGUAUUUUUUGAUCUGGGAGACAUAAUUCUACAUACUCCAUUAUUUUGGAUAUUUCUAGUGAGGGAUUGAAACAAUCAUCUUUUAUUCUCUCCUUUGUGUUUUGAUGUUCAUUUUGAUAUAAGAACUUGCAAUAGUGAGCUAUAAUUUUUUUUUUCUAAAACCAAAAGGAAGAUUUUUGAUGACAAGAGUAUAUCACUUCAAUGUCUUAUCAUUUUUUAUUCAUGUGCACAACAUUGUUUAGUAGGGGGUAUGGUGUGGUCUUCUUAUGAGAUGGCUGAAGAGAUCCAUUGCACCACGAGGAGCUCAAAUUGCAUAAAGCAGUAUCUUAAACUUCUCUUUAAUACCUAAUGUACCCAAACAAACAUCUUUUUAACACCUAGACACUUCUAAACAUUCUUUUCUAUUUAUCAAUCAAUGCACAAGAAUAUAUAAAUAUUAGGCCAUGCAAUCUUUCAAAAUUCAAAAAAUAUAUAAUAUACAUUGUGCAAUGAAAACGACCUAAUCAAGCACGUCAAUUAUAUAGUUGCUUCUUAAGAUAUACACACCAUGCUUCAUACUAAGUUUGACAUUAAUUUUGAGCUUAACUCUAAAGAUCAAUCUUGAUUUGUUUACCACUAUUUUGAACAAUUCAACCUUUGUCUAAAAUUGAGCCAAACUUGAGACUAAUUGAAUGCUUGAUAAUCCUAAAUUGAGCCAAACUAAGUUCAAGAUUGAUUCAAACUAGAAUUCACAUUUAUUCAGAUCAAAGAACAAAUAAAAUACAUUGAUUAAAGCCUUAUUCCAAUAGUCCAUUACAUAUCUUAUAUUAUAGAAUAUAUAAUAUAAAAGUAUUCGAGCCUUUUCGAGCCUAGCCUAAUCGAUCUAUUUCACUUUUUAACUAAUUGACUUGAAAUUGAUUUCAAGUUUGUUUUGUUGGUUCCAAUUUGAUUUGUUUAGUUUUUAAACAAGCUUGAUUUGAGCUACUCUCAAACAUAGCUCAAGCUUAUUCCCUUUUAUUUAUAGCCCUGGACAAAUUGGAAGAUGAUUUAAGAUUAAUGAUGUCAUUUGAUAAAACUAAAGCUUAACUUGAUCCUUCAUAGUUUUAAAUAUCUUAAAAUUGUUGAAUGACAUUUUAUUCAUUGUUCUUGUAUAUGCCAAAUGAGUACAAAUAUCUAUGCUCACUAUACUAGAAAUUGUCUUGUUUCAAGAAGUGUUAUACAACAUCACCCUUACUAUUUAAAUUUGAUAUUACUACUAAAUUAUCAAACUUGAAUAUUCUAAGUGAAAUAUGAACUAAUAAAAUGGAUUCUUUUUGGAUAAUUCAAUUACAUAAGUCUUAUUUUUUUAUUACAACAUUAUAUCAAUUUAUUUUGAUAUGCACUUACGGAUUAUUGAUUAAAGCUUUCCUAAUUAACAAAAACUGAAAAUGGAAGUGUUUUAAAUUUUUUAGAGGAAAAGAGCCAAGCCUAAAAGGAUUCAUUUAGACAAUGAAGAUACAUCCUCCCAAAAAAAAGAUAUUUGAGAAGAAAGAAUUAGGGAAUCAACCAGCUAAAGAUACAAAGGCCCAAAAUCUUGUACGAAGAUACAAUAGGGCUGAAAAUAUAUAAAAUAUGGAUCAGAUAUUGAUGUAUUCAUAUUUAUAUCUAUAUUUUUCAACGAAUAUGUAUACAGAUAUAGAUAUUAAAUAAAUAUCAAAAUUAAUAUCCAUAUUUGUUUUAAAUGGAUACGGAUAUGAAUCGGCUAUUAAGCAUAUCCAUAUUUAUUAUAAAUGUAUAUGGGUAUGAAUUGGAUAUUAAAUAUAUCUAUAUCUUUUUAUCUAAAUAUGGAUAUAAAUUGAAUACUUUUUUGGAUAUUAAUCAAAUUUGAAAAAAAAAUUCAAUGAUGAAAACUAGCAAUGAAGACAUGAUCAUAAAAGAAAAAUUCAAUAAAAAAAUAAUUUUGACAAGUAUUUAUCAAUAAUAAAAACUAAUAAUUUUAUAAAGAAUAUGCCGCUCAAGGUUGCUUAUCACCAAAGUAGACAAGAUUUAUAGUGCCUUCAAGACAUCUCACGACUGUCUCUAGUUUGCAAUCACCGGGUAAAAACUAGAAAGUGGAUAGGAUCUUCAAGACCCUAGUUGCUUGAAGAUGAUGAAGAGAAAAGAGAGUCGAAAUGAACGAACAAGAGGUUUAAACCAUUUAGACAUGCGAGGUGAUUUGAAGGAUUUUAUUUGAAUCAAGUAUUUCAUAUCCAAGUUGUUGUCUUAAGUGACGGUCAUUCAAUAUCUGGAUUUUUUUUAUUUUAGGUUUGGUUAACAACUUAAUUGAUUUUCUGAUUUAAUAAAAAAGCAAAAGAGAGAAAGUUAAAUAUUGUUAAAGUUUAGAAUUUAUAAAGAAAAUUCACUCUUGAACCCAAAAUGCUCAAAAAUUUGAUCUUUUUAUGCUUACAUUUAUCGUAAAACUUGAUUGAGAUAAACUUGAUAUUACUAUAAUUUUCUCGACAUUCUCUAAAUUGAAAAGGUAGCUUUUUGAUAUUGUCAAAAAAAGGGAGAGAGUAGGUUGAGUAUAUGCAUAUUGAAUAUAUAUUAACUUGAGUUAAUUUGAAAUUCUAAAUGAUUAUGAAGCAUUCAUGAAGUAUGUUCUUAAGACAUAUAUUAUAUUUGUUUACUUCAUAUUUUACAUAAAUAAAUAAAUUAAGUAUAAAUAUUAAAAACACAAUAUACUCUAUUUUGCGUACACUCAAAGUUUUGUCAUCAUCAAAAAGGGAGAGAUUAUUGACCCAAUGGAUCGAUUAUGAUGAGAACAAAAUAUUUGAUUAUAAUAAUAAUAUUUUUAUGUUCUUGAAAAAAUUAAAUUUUUUUUGUAGGAAGCUAAAUAAGGUUGAAAGGUUAGAGAGGCCUAGAAGCGCAAUUCUCAAACUUGGAGAAGUUUUAUAAGAAUUCUAGAAGUUUUUGAAGUUCUUGAAGUGGAUGAGUCGACCUGAAGAAUCACAAGUCGACUUCUGCCGAGCACGGGUCAACCCCAGCACAAAUUGAGUCGACCCCAGAAUAGCUGUAGACAAAAAAUAGAAGUCAGUCAAAAAUAGCAUUCUCGCAAGUCAACCCUGGAUGAUAAUGAGUCGACCCCAGUCAUGGACGAUUCAACCCCAAAGACGAGUCGAGUCAACACCACUGUUACCAUAGGCGAAAGAUAGAACACAAAAAAAAUUAGUAGAUUUUUGAAUCAACUCCUGAAGAUCACGAGUCAACCCCUAAGAAGUUGAGUCGACCCAUCUGUACCUGACAAUAUGAAUGACUAAUUUUUUUUGCAAAACCAGAACAACCAUAUUCACCUCCAACAACUCUUUCAUCCUGUCUAACAACUAGAAACAUCUUCUUUGAAGAUAUAAAUGCACGAAAACACCAAAGAAAGACAAUAAGAAGAAAGGAGGAUUAAGGAGAGUGAGUGGAGAAAGUAAAAGAAAAAGAAUACAAGUUAACCACCACUCUUAGAGCUUUAAAUUUCAUCACAACAAAUAGAGCAAGCAAGAAAGGAAAAAAAAAAGAGUUGACUUCCAUUCUUCAAGAUUCCAAUAGUUAGAGCAAAUCAAGCACGAGCUACGAUGAGAAAAAUCCAACAUUUGUAAAGGUCAUUGUGUAUGUAUUUUCUAGCUUUAUUUUGUGUAUGAGAUUACGAAAUCUCGUGUGAGAUUUUUGGUACGGCUAACACCGUGAAAAGUCAGUUGCUUUGUAAGGUUUGGCUAUACCCAUGAAAUAACUAAGUUGCAGUCAAUUGCUCUGAAAAAUCGACUAAAUUUUCCUAAGCUUAGAAAUCAGCAAGGAGUUCCUAAGGAUUGAAACUCCGGAUUGGUUUAGCUAUACAAAUAAAACAUCUUGGUUUUGGUUGAUUGCCAAAAAAAUCAACUGGAUUUGAUUGUGAGCCCAAAAAAUAACUGAACUAUAAUCUUGCUUAUAUAUUAUAAUAAAAUUUUUAAGGAAGAAGCCUUGGGGAGUGGAUGCAGGAGCUGAGUUUGGCACCAAAUCAUUACAAAAUUUUGGUGUUUGAUUUGUUUGUGCUUGUUCUUAUCUUCUACACUUAUUUAUCAUUCAUUUUACUGCGCAUACUUAUAUUUAAAUUGGUUUUACAAAAUUAUUGUUUAUGUGUGUAAAAAGUUUUGAAAAAUCCAAGUCACAAGCACCCCCCCCCCCCCACGCCCUCUCCACCCUCAUGGGUUGUCAUUUUGGGCAACAUCCUCUUGCUGCAUAUUUCUUGGCUACAAUGCCAAUCAAAAGGGUAUUGAUUCCUUGACAUUAAAUCAGGUUGUGUUUUCAUAUCAAGAGAUGUCAUCUUUGAUGUGCCUCUCAUCCUAUAUCAUAAUGUCAUCUCUCUUCCCUCAACCGCAUCCUCAUCAUUCUUAGAUUUUUCAAACAUGGUGGGUUACAUUCAGUUCUCAAGUGCCUUAGCUAUUGCUGACGCACCAAAAUGCUGCCCAAUGUCUAUGUUUUCGGUCCAAAUUUCCUACCUAUUUUAAGCAUGUUACUAGUAACUAAGAGUCUACCUCAUGCUCCACUAGGCCCCUCUUCAAGCCUGCCAGUAUUACAAUAGCAGCACACUCAACUAUUAACCCACAUUGAUCCCCAUGCUCAACCACCAAUCACCACCAACCAGCUCUCCUAGCCACUCCAUUUAAUUCACCUAGAAUGUCCCAAAUCCACUCAAUCCUACACCCUAUCUUGUCCCCACCUGGCCCAUUUUAACUAGCCUCUAUUACCUCCCAAUUGCAGACCCUUUUUAACUCAAAUAUUAAUCCUUUAAGCUAUGGUAACAGUACCCCCACCCUUCCUAAUCCAAACCUAGGUUGCACUCAUUCAUUGUUGGCACAAUUCAUACAUAGAACUGUUAAAGAGAAAAUCUUUUCCAGCACCAAACAUCUUGUUCCUACUAUAUUGUUUACUAUUAUCGAUCUCAGCUAGCCAUAGAGCUAUACACAAGUAUCUAAAGUUUCUGAGUGGCAUGUUGCUAUGCGCAUUAAAUUCACUACUCUCCAAUGCACCAACAAAUGGUCUCUUAUCUUAUUUCAGUCUAACAUGAAUGUUGUGGGUUGUAAGUGAGUGUACCAUCUCAAGCAAAAUCCUAAUGGCUCCAUCAAUAAGUAUAAAGCAUGUCUUGUUGCAAAAGGCUUUCACCAACAACUAGGAGUAGAUUUUACUGAAAUUUUUGGCCUUGUGGUGAAGCAUAACACUUCACAUCAUCUUAAUUUUGGCUCCCACCUUCAAUUGGCCUCUUUGUUAACUCAAUGUUGACAAGGACUUUCUCCAUUUGAAUUUUUAAGAAGAGGUGUACAUAGCAUAACCACCUAGCUACGUGGAUCCAGAGCAAUUUGCACAUGUUUGUCGCUUGUAUAAGUUAAUAUGUGGUCUCCAAUAGACCCCUAGAGCAUGAUUUGAGAAAUUUGCUUCAAACUUCUUAAGUUGGGUUUUUUCACGUCCCGGUGUGAUCCAUCACUCUUCAUUCGCCCUGAGGGUUGCCACUUCGUUUGUCUCUUCUCUAUGUUGAUGAUAUUAUUACCACUAGUAAUAAGCCCACUCACAUCUCCACUCUCAUCACCAAGUUAUGAAUACAUUUCAAAAUGAAAGAUCUUGCACCUCUCACAUAUUUUUUUGGUAUUGAGGUACAUCACCUUCCUCAUAGCCCUCACCUAUGUUAAACUAAAUAUGCUCUUGAUCUCCUUAAACGGAUUGAAAUGCUUGGAUGUAAACUUGUUACCCUUCAUCAUAGUGUUGUCGAUGCUUUGCAAUAUCUUACCCUCACUAGGCCAGAACUAUUCUUUAUUGUAGACCGAGUUUCCCAACACAUGCAGCCGCCAACUGAAAACUAUUGGGUUGUUGUCAAAUGCAUCUUGUGUUACCUAAAAGCUACUCUCACUCAAAGGACUUUCCUAUGGCAUGGUCCAAUUAAACUUGAAGCAUAUAGUAAUGCCAAUUACCCAUUGAUUGUCUCUCAAUAAGUGGAUAUUGUAUUCAUCUUGGUAUUAAUCUAGUCUAUUAGUCUGCAAAGAAGCAACAUAUCGUCACCCAACAUCUACGGAGGCCAAAUGUAGAAUUCUGGCUCACAUUGCUGCUAAAAUUAUACGGUUUGCUCUCUCUUCCAUGAACUUUGCCUUCUACUUCGGACUACUCUCAUUUGGUAUGAUAAUGUUUCUGCCAUCAUCAUGUUCAAUCCAAUUUUUCAUGCUUGCACUAAACACUAAGCUAGACUAUCCCUUUGUCCAUAAAAAAGUGGCCCAUAAAGAACUAGGUGCUCGAUUUAUUUCCACCACUGAUCAAGUGGCUGACAUCUUCACUAAGAGUCUACAUCCUAGCUGCCUACACUAUUGCAAGUCAAGCUCAAAAUUCAAGCUGGCCUAUUUAGCUUGAGAGUGCAUAAUAGCAGAUUUGAUUUAUGUCCAACAUUCUAGCCUCAACCAUGAGAUGUGCCAACAUGAUUACUAUUUUUGCUGCAUUUUAAAUUUGAAUUCCAAAAUCAGCCAUGCAACCGUUUCCCUCAAUCUUGGGAUAUGCAAAUAUGAUUGCAACUGUUGUAUUUUAAAUUUGAAUUUCAAAUUUGUAAUUUAAACCCAAAUCUAUUAGAUCAAACUUUCCAUCUGUAUCCUUAUAUAAUCAAGUGUUUAUAAAUAAAAUAUACCACAUCCGUCACAAAGUUGCGACUAUUAUUCCCAUUCCUAGAAUCUUUUAUUCUAAGUAAGGAGUUUAAGGCUAGGAUAUAACAUGGAAAGAGAGGUAAUUACUAAUUUUGAUAUGGAGCUUCAUAUUGGCCCAUGCAAGUUUGUUGUGAUGUUCCAUGUUUUGGAUACCCAGUCAACAUAUAAUCUUCUAAUAGUAAGGGCAUGGUCACAUGAAGCAAAAGCUGUCUCUCGAACUACAUCAGAGGGUGAAGUUCAAGCAUAAUGGAGAAGUAAUUACUGUGGUUGUCAUUCCAAAGGUCACAACGUGAAUGCUAUUAAUAAUCAAAAGCCUUUUCUCGAUGUUGAUCAUGAUCUUUCAGAAGUAUUUUAUCAUAGAUUCCAAUUUAAUUCUCCUAACUUCCUCUCUCUUAACAAUACACUGACUCACCUCCAACCCUCCUCCUGAAAUUGAAUUUGAGUCCCGUUUUGAUCCAUCAAACCUAUUGAGUCUAAGAAGACUCCUAGUAGUGAGAGUAGGGCCGCCAUAAAAACACAAGCCAUUGUCACUACCUACUCAACAGACCCUAUAGGUUCCAAAAGACAAAUAGUUAAAGAGGAAAGCAAGGACAAAAAUGUAGUCUACUUGAUUUAUCCACUCUAUUUCUGGUUUAUGUGAAAAAGGUAGAGAGAAAUGAAGAGUGUUGUGAAUAAUGAAGACCUACAGGUAAGUAGAAGUAUAUGCCACUCAGAUGUUUAUUCGUAAAAAAAUUACAAAUUUAAUUCAUUAAACUCUGCAAAUUUAACUAAAAGACAAUGUUGAUAAAUAAGACAAUUCUUCCUAGUCUAUCAUUUCUGAGGGUCAAAGAAUGUUAAAGGACCAACUAGAGCUAUUGUUUCCUAGAUACGUAGCCCAAAAGGGGGGUGAAUUGGUUCUUUUAAAAUUCUUUCAUAAGAUGUGCAGCAGAAUCAAAUUGUGCAAUGAAAUGGUGAAGACAAUAUUUAAAUAAACGCAUAAAUGGUAAUUCACAAGAGAAAUUAAAAUAAGUGUCAAGCAUUUAAAUUAAGAGAAAGAGGCAAUAGCAAAAGAGUGAGCACACACCCAACACAAUUUAUAGAGCCAAAUCCAGCUCCUACAUCCUCUUCCUAAGAUAUCCUCCUUGAGAAUUGAAUCUAAUAAUCUUUCAAAAUGAUUUAUUUAGUUUUAUUUAUUUUUUUAAUAUUUUUAUUUAAUUAUUAAUUAUUGUACUCGAGCUAUAAAAGAAUAGCUAGAUGCUUGACUCUAACUACAAACCUAACCAGACCCGAUCCUGACCCAGACCCAAUUCCAACUAGAACCUGAACAUUUUUGAUUGGGUCCAGCUCAUAGUUGAUCUUGGCCCAACCGUAUCAGGUAAUAUAUGGGUUGGGUCAAGUUGAGGUCAAACAUGCCCUUGUCCAACCACACGCUUUUGCAAACUUAAAUAAGAGUGAUGCCGGAGCAUUGAGCCCAAAUCAUCGUGGGUGUGCAUAGAUUGAGUCCUUUUUGUUUAAGGCAUGUCAAGACCCCUUGAGUUAGUGUCCAACGCCUAAAUUACAUUGAGUCUAAGGCGUUGAAGAGUUCUUAUGAGUUUGGAGUCUAUUCAUUUUGUUCUUAUGGCAUGUGGGAAGAAUUCUAACUGACUUGGACUCUUAGUCUAUAUGCCAUGAAGAGUCCAAAGUCAAGUGUGAGUCCUAGCUAAUUAGUUGAUUUAGUCAAUUGUUUGUUUUAAAAUUAAAAGAGUCCAUGUUUAGUAGGAGUCCUUGUUGAAGUAGGAGUCCUCAAAUUUCAUAUUGUAAGAGUCUUUAUUUUUCCAACCCCUUACUCUAUAUAAAGGAGAGGUUGAAGAAUAAAUUCAGAAUAUAGUUUUGAAAAAAAUUGAGUGCUACUCGUGAGGAAGUGAGAAAAUCAUCUUCUCCCCUUUGUGUGACACCAAGACUAGGAACAAGUGGCGUGAAGGUGAGACGCCUUCACCCUCUUUACGCCAACUUUUGGUGUCUUUGAGUGGGGAUGAGACUCUUCCACCUAAGUCCCUAGUUUUCUCUCUCUUAACAUGCCACAUAACCCCCUAAGUCCUAGUUCUAAUAGGACUCCUAAUCCCCCCAUCAUGCCAUCCAACUCCUCAUGCCUAACCCAAUCAAACUUUGGGUCCCAACCAAAUUCCAUCCGCCACAAUCUUUCAAGCCCAAUCUCCUAAGUUGUCCACACAUCCAUUGAACCCAAUUAAACCCAUUAGCCAUCUUCAUCAUCUUCCCUCUUUCUCCAUCCGCAAGGAACCCUAGCCUCCAUAGAGAAAAGAAAAAAAAAGAAAUCAGGCGCCAUCAUCCCCAAACACCAGCAAUCACCCAUCCCCAUCUGCGUCAAGUGGUAUUAGAGCGAAGAUCCUUGAUCACCAUAAGUACCAGAAGCGGCCGCCCCUACAACAAUGAAAGGCAACGUGCUAAGAAGAUGGCUGAACUCUCCAUCAGAUGGCUGCCUUGAAUCAAAAUAUGGAUGUCGUUUGGGAGCGCAUCUUUCCCGAGUCAAAACAACUUUGAAGAUGAUCAUGGCACCCAUGAACAUCCAGAAAAUUUAGAAGCACCACAAGGAGGAGAUCCCGAUGCCGAGAUCCAUUCUCCUUGGGGUCUUCCGCCUCAACGCCACCCAAAGGGUCCCCAAACACCACACCCAAUUAAUCUUCGCAUGGGGAUUAAUUUUAGGAACCCAUAUUGGCAGCAACAACAGCGGAAACAUGAUGACUUCGACCAUGCAUUGAAGCAGGUACGUGUUGAUGUUACUGAUUACAGCGGAAGUAUGGAUCCAAGCACCUUUUAGGAUUGGUUGAUAUCGCUUAAAGAUUACUUUGAGUGGUACAACAUGACCAACAAGUGAAAAGUUCGGUUCGUGAAGAUGAAACUGAAGGACCAAGCAUGCGUUUGGUGGUACAGCAUGGAGAAAAAACUUCAUCGCCUUUGGUGACCUCCCAUCACCUAUUGGAAAGAGAUGAAGCUUCGAUUGAAAGAAAAUUUCUUCCCCUUGAUUAUGAAGAGACUCUCUUCGAAGAUCUUCUGAAGCACCACCAAAAAAGUUCAACAAUGGAGGACUACACCGCCCAAUUUCAUGAACUGAAGCUCUGCAGCAAUGUUAUGGAGAUGAAGCGGCAAGCCUUGGCUUGGUAUCGAUCCGAGCUGAGGGAGGACAUCCGAAGACAGUUGGUGAUAUCUCAAAUAUUUAGUUUGGAGGAGGCAUAUUAACUUGCUCUUCGCGUGGAGGCGCAACUGCGACAACGACACCCUACCAAUCCAUCAGUUGGGCAAUGGCCUCUAGAACGUGGCAACAAGGGCACUCCUCUUCCUUGAGGUAAUCUCCCUUCAUGAGAUCUGAAACUUCUGCAAAUAGAGGUCCAUAUCUGAAGCGACGAACAGCAAGGUCCAGCGACAAUUAUAAAAAAUUGUAAGUAAGAUAUUCUAUUUUCAAAAAUAAAAAAUUAAGUCUUUUUUGCCACCACCUUCUUUAUUAUUAUUGCCAUCAUGCCUACCUUAUCUCCACCACUAUAAUUACCACCAUUGCAACUAUCAUCAUUGUCCCCACCUCCACCAUUGCUACAUCGUCUCCACUACCACCAUUAUUAUUACAACAGCCUACAACAAUGUUGUAACUAUGAUAACCACCACUAUCACCAUCUUUGCACCACCACUACCGCCACAGUCUCUACCACACCACCUCCGCCAUCAUUAUAAUCUCUACCAAAAUAUUGGUGCCCAUGCUGUUGUUAUUGCCGCUGCUGCCACCACUGCUACCUACUAUCAUCAUGUUUAUACUUUUAAAAAUGAUGGAUUGUACAAAAUAUAAAUUUUUUUGAUGGAAACAAAAAUAUUUUUUUUUGCUAUUUUAUUUUUGCAUAUAAGAAAAUUGGAGAUGAUGCUAUAUAACACCUAAAAGGAUGGUUUGGAAGUAAUUGCCAUAUCAGGCCAUGGCCGAAGAAAUGCCGCGGCUCUAUGCACAUUGCUGAGACUUCUGUGCAAAUUGUUCUUGAUUUUUGCAAAGGACCUCUCACCUUCGAUCUAUCAAUCAAUUUGAAAGCUCAGAUAUUAUUCUACUUAUUAUUUUCUAAUGCAGUAUGGAUAAGAAGGUGAAUAAUGUCAUAUAGGCAUUGUUUCUCUUAGUGAAAAAAAAAAAAUUGCAAAUUGUUGGAAAUUCAGGUUUCAUGGGCUAGAUCUGGCUCAGGCCAGGCCCAGUCCAUCUUGACAGGCCCCUGCCGGACCACGCCUUGGUUUAUUUCUUCGGAAAAGGGCUGGGCGCGGAUGCCAGGAUCACCUGGGCUGAACCCGACCCACGAAGGUAGCUAACGAACGUCUCAGAUCAUAACCAUUUAGAUCCUAUGGUCGACGUUCGUUACUCGUCCUCCGUAUAUAUCUCCGUCCCGCUAGGGUUUAUCCUCUCCUUCCCUUUCUCCCAAGCAUCGGCCGUUUCCAGGGUUUCGACGCGUCUCUAGGUUUUCGACAGGAUGGUCAGCCUGCUCUUUCUCUCUCCUCGCCUUCGGAUUUUCAAUUGUUUCUGCAUCUAAGGCUUUUAGAUUUUUAUCGGCUGAAUCUUUUCUGGAUCGGUUUCUAUUCAAUUGAAUUCUUCUGCUCGUCUUCCAGAUCUAUUGCCUUAGACCAAAUCGAUUUAUAGGGCUUUAAAUCCUAGUUUUGAUCGUGUUUUAAUAAGAUGCUUUUGUUUUAUCAUGAUUUCUGGUCGCUAUGGGUUUUAAAGAUCAAGUCCUUUACUUCUAAUCUCCGUGGACUCAACUUUUUUAUUAAAUUUAUUGGUGAUUAGGUUCUUCCGAACGAUAUCGAUCUGCUGAACCCACCAGCUGAACUUGAGAAGAGGAGGCACAAGCUAAAGCGGCUCGUGCAGUCGCCCAACUCCUUCUUCAUGGUAAUCUGACUUCCUAGCAAUCAAAUACUUGGGAGUGGGUAUGUGUGUGUGUGUGUUUGUGUUUUGGAUUAAUUAUUGUUUUUCUAACCAUCUCUUCUUUGGUGUCUGUUCUGAAUUGAAGGAUGUGAAGUGCCAAGGUUGCUUCAACAUGUAAGCCUUAUUUUUGCCCUUUAAAGUUUGAUUCUUUAGCUAUAAAAGAUGUGAUCUUUCAAAAGAAAUCAGUUUUUGAGUUAUUAGAUCUUGCUAGCUUCUGAUGUUGUAUCCAAAUUUGAAUAUGUUUUGUUUGUUGUUGCAGAACUACUGUUUUCAGCCACUCGCAGACUGUUGUUGUCUGUGGUAACUGCCAAACAGUGCUCUGCCAGCCGACUGGUGGGCGUGCGAGGCUCACCGAGGGAUGCUCCUUCAGGCGGAAGGGAGAUUGAGGGUGGUCUGCUCUAUCUCACUGUCUCUUUCUUUGUGAUACCCCGAGGCUGUCAAAAUGGAAUCUGAUCUUAUGGUUUUAGUGAUUAGAGUGUCGAAUUAUUUUUUCUCUUGAGCAGAUGAUUAAGAUUAUGCGGUAGUUGGUUGGUGAUUUUGUUAGUCCAGGAAUACUUUAUAUUUCUCAGCAAUCUUUUGGCAUAUGAGACAACAUUGAUGGUGUUUAGUUCGAGUCUGUUUUUGGAUUGGAAUUCCAUCUCUUGAUACUCUUGUCAGUAAGUGGUAUUAUGUUUUCUAUGAUACAAAUGCAUGCAGUUAACUUGUUUGGCUUUUUUUAAUGCAAUCACAGUUAGUUAUUUGUUGCUAGUUUUCUUUUUCCAAAUCGAAUAUGGUAGGUGCAACUAUUGAAGAUCAUUGUUAGGGAUGUAAUUCAAUCUCUUAUUUAUUUAACUUGCCAUCUGAAUUUUCUAAUUGAGGACCCUCUUGCGGAAACAAGUAAUAGGUGUACUUGUUGUUUUAUUUUAUUUUAUUUUUUGAUAUACGUUUUCAUGAAGUUUGAUCAUGCCACCUUGCCUGAGGCAUAACUUGAUGGAGCGUAGUUUUUAGAUAUAUCUGUUGUUGUCCUGACCAUUGUCAUUUUAUUCAAAAUCAGCUCAAAUCAUGGGCAUAAAGUUAGAGAUUUUUCAUUAUAUUGUUGAAACCUAAGUAUUGUUUUCUGAUGAAAACAUUGUGUUAAAUUCGAUUUGAUCAAGGGAAACAUUAGAGGCUUCACGUGAUUUAGAAGUUGAUGCAAUAUGAUCAACAAAUUGACAUUUUGUUUGCUGGAAAAAGGUUUUCUCCACCAUUUUGGAGGUUAUGUGGCCAUGUUCUUAUUUCCUUCCUCCAUAUGGCAGAGGAUGCCUGUCCACACUAUCUUAUUUCUGUUUAACCAAGCUACUCCAAGCUAUUUAUGAGUGAAGAAUAGGAAGCACAUUGAAUCUUUGACAUGGUGAAAUGCAAAAGGAUCCCUGCAACAUAGGGUACUGGUUGUUAUCUUUCUUUGAUAACACCAUCUUCAUCCGUCUGAGCUCAAUUUACUCUUGGUUCUACUUUAUUUGAAAUGUUACAUGAGGCCGUAACGUAAUGGUGAAUUCUUCAAUUGACCAUACGCUCCAUGAUUUGUCAACCCUAGUGGUCUAUGACAAACAUGGUCUUGAUGUGAACAUUAUAGAGGAAAUGGGCACAUCUUUGUGGAAGAAUUUGACAUGUUUAUGAUCAAGCUCAUGACCUUUUUAUUUGUGAAGUUUAUUAAAGUCCUUUCUAUAUUUUGGGUGAGACUGCUACUGAAAUAUGUAAUAUUUUGGUACGGUGAUGUGUGAUGGCCAAUGUGAUUAUUUAUCAACUUUUGGAUUUUUUCAAAUCAAAUUUCUUUUUAAAGUUUUGUGAUUUUAUUUAUAUUUUUGUGGAGUUUAUGCUCAAGGAGCACCCAGCAAUUAGGUGAUGAUAUAGCAUAAGUAUUUAUCUGUAGAAAGGACGGUCCACUUAUUGUAUCCACAACUAAAAUAAUUGGUUCUUUUAGUAUAUUGUUAAAAUAAGUUGGGUUCUAGUCAUUAAUGUUUCCUUAUCAUUCCUGGGGCAUGUAGUGUGGGAAUGGAGAAAAGUUGCAGCGGUGCAUGUUUUGUUCUUGCCAAACAAUUCUGAUGAAUGAUCAAAAGAUUAGGGCCUUGGCGUUUGUUGCCGAGUUUUGUUCUUGGUUGAAACUUUGGCUUCAUUUCUGUUUUUGACUGGAGCUGAAUUGCUAUCAUCAGUUUUAGCCUAUCUUUUAAGUUAAGAAACGAGUCAGAAAGGUUUAGUGCUGAGCCACAUUUUGUGGAAAGGAAUAGUCAGUCUUCUCUCAAUGGCAGGAAAGAAGAAAAUAGUUUGAGGUGCAUAAUUAAUGACAUUCUUUUUGCCAAAAUUUAAGGGGAGGAAGAGCAUAUAGAACGAAUCCAUGUUAAUUGUUUUGUGCUUCCAGAAAUUGUAGGCAUUGGAUGGGCAAGGAAAUGGUAGAUAAGUGUUAAUGCAGAUAUAGUUUGUGGGAGUUCAGGUAACUCCUCCUCCCUCCCUCCCUCUCUUUCCAUCUCUUUCUCUCUCUUCCUCCCUCUCCUCCUUCCUCUCCCUCUCUAGUUUGAUAUACUCUAGCUCGGUGCUGUAUAUACCAGUACCAUAUGCAACCGGUCGCAGCUGGUAUGAGCUCCAUGCCAGUAUAGGUCUUGGAUGCUCUGAUGGUAUUUGGAGACCUAUAACUCCAACGUGGACCAACUACUGGAUUUGGACUUGCAAAUCAAUGCUUGGUUUCCAAGGACUGCUGUUGCAGCAACUAGCUUGCUAAUAUUUAUUCCCUCGUAACUUUUGCCACUGUACUUCACUUGUUUAGUUGAUCAUGUAUAUCCCAUCACCCUUGAAAUGGAAUUUGAGUUUACGCCCCAACUUCCCACUCGAAUAAAAACCUACCUAUGAUCAUUGAAUCAAAGAAGAAAUUUUGUAUUCACACGAAAACUCUAGUCAAACAAGAUUACACAUUAUAAUAGAACCACCCAAUUCCAUAUGUAAAAUAGUAUGCUCUCUGGGGCUAGUCCAUAAGGUUCUACAUGACUUCCAAAGGCCUUUAUUAACAAAACAUCGGAGUUGAGAUCUGGGUCCCCAUGUCAAAGAAAGAUGCAUAAGAAAGAUGCGUAUGUAUGUAAUUUUAAAGGAAUAUUUACAUAUAGCUAACUACUUUUCCAGCAACAAGAAUUUGGAAGAUAUCUUAGAUAUCAUGUUGCUCUGAAUACACAGUUGGCAGUUGAAACCAAAUAAUUCAUUAUUGUCAAAACCACGAUAAAGUACAAGAAUUGAAGAAAUGAAUAAUAGAGGCAUCAUAAAUGCUCAAAAUGACAAACAAAUCCCUAUCCAAGACAUGAUGUAAUUUACCUAAUCUUCAGAAAGAAGAUUCCAUGUGAUGGAGUAGCCUCAUCUCCAUAUUCAAAUGACUGGCAUUUACUUCCCCAAACCAGUCAAGUCUCCUUUAUUUAGGAUCUGCUGCCAUCCUACUUUCCUACUCUCCAGCUUCUCUGAACUAUAUCCUUUACAAGGCAUCUUCAAUAUAUAGCUAGCGAGCUUCUGCUAGUCGUAAAAGUUUCAUUGAGCAUCGAAGACUUGUUUCCUUUCCUUUUUUGCUUGAAGUCCUCUUCAGCUCUUCUUUCAAAAUAAUUUUCUUUCCCUUCUUUUGCAGCUCUAUGUCGGCUUUCUUUCUCUUUCCAAGGGAGUUGGAACUCUUAAGAGAGAGUCCUUAGGAUUAAGAGGAUAUGGAGUUCUGAAGCUGCUAGAGGAGGGAAGGCUUAGGUUUGAAAUGGAGGAGACGAGACGAGAGUCAGCUCAGAGGACAACUUUUAGAGUUUGUAUUAAAUAAACACCAAGGAGUCGACUCAUAGCUAUUUAUACCCUAGAGACCGAAUACGUUUCCCACAACAUGAGAGUUGGCUCCGCUCAAGAGACCUACACCAGGAGUUGUCUCUUAACCUUUAAGAGAUGGCACUCCAGCUCCUCUAGUAGUCUUUAGGAGAUGCCUCCUUAUUAGGAGUCAAACUCCUUAGAAUAAAAACUCUUUGAUUCUGAUAAGGAGACUUCUCCAACCACCAAGAAGUCAGCUCCUGGGCCCUUAAGCCUUUAAAUUUCAGAGAAUCUUCGAUGUUGAGAGGUCAGACAAAUCUAGUUCCGUUCUAGUAAUACUAAAUCUAUCUUCAUUUAAAGGUUUAAUGAAGAUAUUAGCUAAUUGAUUUUCAGCAUUGACAAAAUCAAGUACAAUAUUAUCUUUCUGGACAUGAUCUCUUAUGAAAUAAUAUCUAAUUUAAUAUAUUUUGUUCUAGAGUAUUGAAUUAGAUUUUUUGGUAGAUUGGUUGCACUUAUGUUAUCACAUUUUAUGAUAAUAUGAUCUAAUUUAAGUCCAUAAUCUUCUGGAUGUUGUUUUAUCCAUAAGAUUUGAGCAUGGCAACUUUCAGCAGCAAUAUACUCAAUAUCAGCCAUAGAUAGUGCUACUAAAUUUUGCUUCUUACUAUGCUAAGAAAUUAGCAUUUCACUUAAAAAUUGACAAGUUCCACUUGUAUCAUUUCUUAUCUAACUUGCAGCCUACAAAAUUAGUAAUAGAAUAUCCAAUUAGAUUUAAAGUAGUGUCAACCUAAAAUGUUUGAUUCUGAUGAUACAAAAUGUUUAAGAAAAAAGUUUACUAAUUAUCUAUUUGAAGUAUAUAGAAUGCUCACAGGAUGCCAAGAAAAUAUUAAUCCAAAACUCUAAAUGUGGAAGAAUAAUAUGCAACUUUAUGAAGCUUUGAGCUCGAAAUAUACUCACCUCUUCCUCUUCCUAAGCUCACCAACCUCAGGACUUGACUUAGGCGAAUUAAACUCAGAACAAUCAUGAUAUUCACCGUAGUAGUCAGUCUGCUUUUCAACUUCAUUCAAAGCAGCAGCACAACUUGAUUCUAUACUCUCCCUCACAAGUAGUGGUUGCGCCCUCUGCACCUCAUCAGCCCUAUUAUUGUUCCUAUUCCUUGCUUCGUUCAGUUUGUCCCUCACAGCUAUCAACUCAUAAUUAGUAGCUCAGCAUCUGUAUGAUAGCCUUCAUCACUCUCUUCCUCUUCACUGUCAGUAAGUUGUACUUUUCAUUCUUAGAAGCUUCCUCAGCAACCCUUCGAGCCCUAGGUCAAUCAAGGAUUUUAUCUUUUCCUUUGCUUCUCACGACUCGCUAACUUUGCUCGGCAACUACUUUGUUGACUUUGCUCGAUAAGUCUUUCUCAAUAACUUUGCUUUAUCAUCACUUCCUCUGCCCCCUACUGGCUUCUCACUGCUUCCGUUGCUUCUCACUACUUCCUGGCUUUGCUUCUCGCCACUCUUUUUUGCACGAGUUCGACUAUUAGGUCUCUCUGACUGCUUCUCCUAUGUCUUCAUGCUCCACAUAAAUAUGAAGCUAUUCCCUUGCAUCCAAUGCAAGUUUUAUUAUUUCUUUAAGCUGUUUGUCUUCAUAUCUUCAUUCCCGGAUUUUCAUUCAAAUCAGACACCCUACAAAAUAACCUUACAACUUUAUCCUCAUACAGCUUCUCCACCAUAUCCUGUAACUACUCAUAAGAUAAACUUUCUAUGUCAUGGAGCCACAUGUCCUCCAACAUAUUCAACGCAUCCACUCUUAUUGACAAAAUUGCCACCAUGAUGUACAACAAUGGUUACAGAGUCCAUUCUACAUGACACAAAAAAAAAUUAGUUGUUUACUGAUAGUCUAUGAAGCGGAGAGUCUUGCACAGCAAAGUAUAUCAAGCAAUCAGAGAGAGUCUUCUAAGAUAAAAAUUAGCUGUUAACAGAGAGUCUAUUAAUAGCUCCUGUCUGGUUGCUAUUAUAGAGUCUAUCACAGAGAGUCUAUGAAGAGUCUAAUGAGAAAGUUCGGUUGUUGUUGACAGCAAGGUACCUUUCUUGCUUUUUUUUGCUUCAGUAAGGUACCCUAUCUAACUUCAGUAAGCAAAGUCUGGCUGUCUUCAUUGGCAAAGAGACAAGCUACUUGAUGAUGCUGAAAAUGGGUUCUAUCAAACAAAUACGUUCCAUUAACUAGUUGGUCGUAGCAAGAGAGCAGAGACACGGCAAAUGCGUUCCACUAAACAUACCAUAACAAAUGGAAUUAUUUAAUCCCACUCGGAUCAAGUUUGACUAAACAAAGGCAAACACUUUGGGACCAUAUUCUAUUAAAUAACAAAACUUUAGCAAGAUUUUGGGACCACAUAGAGACAGAAUAAUAACAAACUUUUUGGGUCACUUUCUACUCACAAUCACUAGCAAUGAUUGAAGUUAAGGCAAAAUUUUCUUGUUCUUCCAAUGGAGUGAGGGAUGUAGGAUGAAAGAAUUAUGGAUCAUGGAAAAAAAUCUAAGGGAAAAUAGAUUAAAGUAUAAUACAAAGACAUUACCUUCGUCGUCAAAAUAGAGGGCUGGUCACCACAGCUCAUCACUGGAGAGACACCACCACUCUUAUGGCCAUCGCCAGUCUCCAAUCACCAGGAAGGAGAGACAGGAUUUGGAUGGGAAUGGAAGUCCAAAUCCUAACUGAAGAGGGAUGAAAAUGGAGGACAAAGGCUUGUCCACAUCAGCCCCUCCUGCCACAUUAGCAAGACACAUGACAUCACGUGACCACGACAGGCAAACAGAAUUUACAGCUAGGGAUCGAAUUGAACAAAUUUGAAAAUUUGAUAAUUUAAUUAUACCAAAUUGAAGUUCAGGACAUUAAAAUCUCCAAAUAGUUCAAAAUUUUUGGCAUAAUUAAUCAUAUUUAUUUAUCAAGGCCUAACAUAAUCUAUAUAAGAAAAUAAAUUUCCCACUAGAAUAUUGAGAUAUAAUGAUGAAAAUUAACUCGGAGAAUACAGUUUAGGCUUAAAACAUCAUAUUCUCACCAAAUCUCAUAUGAAGGCUACUUGUGAGCAGCUUAGGUUCCACUUGUAAUUUAAUGAGCUGGCUCAAGUUUGACUCUAUUACAAAAUAAUCCAAACUUGAGCUAGGCCUGAUUUACCCGUGCUUGGCUAAGCUGCUGAUUGAAGUGCUUGAAUAGACACACGUGAUGGAAGCGAACGUGAGAAGAGAUCAUGAAGCAGCGAGUGGAGAGAAAAAAAGGACAUUCAGAAAUCUGCCAUCGAGGCACUUCGAUGAGAUGGGUGAAGCCACCUUUAUCGCUGUUGGAUGGACCAGAGGAUACUGAUGGUUGCUUACGUGGUGACUUCGAAUGGGAAACUUGGAACAAGAAAAAGAACAUUCUGUGUCCAUCCCUAAAACUGCUGUUGUAAGCAUGGUUUUUCGAGGAAGCGCCAAUGUAAAAAGUUUGCAUUUUAGCUCAAUGUAAGCCCCAAAAUCUCCUACAUAAGCGUCAAUAUAAUAGCAUCCCAGUUCUCAGUAACAUCUGAACCUAUGAGAUUCUGGAGCCGAUAAUUCCAUCAGCAUCAACCAAGAUCCAGGAAGCAACGGAAAGAUUUAUUAAAUUACAUUGGUUAAAACCGCACUUCCUCCUUGACAUACGUUUAGAACUAUAACAUACGGCAAAUGGGGACUUACGGGCAAUAUAUGGGCUUAUUACUGCUCACAUAAUUCCCCAUUCAUUAAACUCAUGUACAAAUCUAUCAUAAGAUUAGAAGCAACAGGGAGUAGCUGGUGAGAAUAGGUUAGUUACAAAGAGGCAUCCUCCAAACAAUUAGGAGUCAAGCUGCUCACGUUUCACAGGCAGUUCCAAAAUGGGAAAAGCAGGGGCAGGGGCAGAACUGCCAUUCUGAGCUCCAAGACUCCCAGCAACAACAGAGUCACUAACCACAUCGAAGUUUAGUCUGCCGCUGACCUUUCUCCCACUGUAGUAGAAUUUAGAGCAGCAGGCAUAUGAGAAUUAUUUCUAAGGGAAUAUAAGCGAUAGUUACGCGCAUUUGAGUUUUUGGGUAACAUACCUAUUCAAGCGGUUGUUUAUGGCAGUCAAAUCUUUGGAAGGGCUCUGAUAAGCAUGAGUGCUCUCACCAACACAAGCAUAAUAGCUCUUAGAGCUUGGUGAAAGCAAUGCAUCCAUCUACCAAUGCAAAAAAUAGAACAAGUGGUAUAUACAUAGACAAUUCUAGAGUCUUUCAUGUAAUAUAUGUAUAUAUGUGAGUGCGCACAUGUGUAUUUGUGUGUACGUAUGUAGACACAUAUAUAUACACAUACAUAGCUAUGCUUCUUAGUUUUCUGAGCAUAAAAAAAUGACAUGCCGCUCAAAUUAUUCUCUCCUGAAUCAAUAGAUUUCACUACUAAAGAAGCUUUAAAAAACUGAUGAAUUAGGGAAAGAAGAAAUAACACUGCACAUAGGCACUAUAAUGUAGGAAUAAGAAUUAGUGGGUAUGCACCAAAGAUAUGGACCAGAACAAAGGAAAAGUGGCAUUGAUGCUCUAUGAGGUAACAGGACAUCAUGUACCAAAACAAAUGAGCUUCAUCNNNNNNNNNNNNNNNNNNNNAAAAAAACAAAAAAAAGAGGGGAGAGACGCUGGGAUGCCAAACGGAGCGGAAGUUUUUCAUAUGAAGACGGGAGGUCAUCCGGAAGCCAUGUACGGUUGAACAUCUAGUCUAGGGCUGGAUGAAGCCCUAGCAAUGUAACAAGGCAUUUGUAGUUCUUACUAUUUAAAUUUUUUGGAGCUCGUUUAAAUUCUUAUUAUCAAUAAAAAAAUUCUUUUAUGAUGUUUGAACUUUGAGCAUGCUAUUUACUAUUCAUAUUUGCUAAAGUAGUAUAAGAUGAUCCAUGUCUAGGAAGAUGAGGUGUACUGCACUCUAGGUUAGCAUAAUUAGGUAGACACUUUUUGCUAUACCUAAGAUGGAUCUUCCUAAAACUCUUUAUGCUUUUAUUUUAAAAGGCUUGUAGCUAAUUUGCAUGCCUCUCCAAAAGAUAAAUAAAUUAAGAACACAGAUCCUGAUGCAAUGCUAUGCGGUGGACUCCAAACCCUAGAUCCAUUUACUCUGAUAAAUUCUAAUUCAUACUCAUAGAUUAAUUUAGUUAAAUCAAGUUAGCAAAUUCUUCUUCUUGAUUUAUUUUUAAAGAAAAAUAACUUAUUCUCCAAUUCCUGUGGACCGACACCCGUAAUCACUAUCCUACAGGAUACGUGGUAUUGCGUGGUUUAUUUUCGAAAUUGAAAGAACCGAUCAGUACCCCUUCACAAGGAGGAUCAAGCCACACGUAGUUCUUUUAAGUUCAAAAAUGCACCGGAAAAUAAAUCAAACAAUUUAAUUCAUGCAUGCUUACAAGAUCAAAUCUAGAAAUCAGCNNNNNNNNNNNNNNNNNNNAGAGUAGUAGUACUACUACCUACUACUAUAUAUAUAUAUAUAUAUAUAUAUAUAUAUAUAUAUAUUAACAUGAGUGAAGCUCAUGCACACAGUCCAUUGUAUACAUUGAACAUGAUUCAACUUAAUUAUUGAUACAAGUGAAUUAUAGCAAUAAGCCUAGAGACUUUGAACCUUCAAAAACAGGAUUAUUCAUAAUUCUUUAUGUAUUUCUACACUUACUUCAGGACUAAAACUCUAAUUCCAUAUCACUAUUUUUUUUUAUGAUUCCACACCACUAAUAGCUUUGUUUGGUUCCUUCUAUUUUAAUUAUAUGAUUAGAAUUUUAUUGGUCCACUCAAUUCUUCCCCUAAAUGGGAGAAGAUACUUAUCCAUUGUCAAGAGGGUUAUCUGCAUGGAUAUUACUUUGAAACUACUGGGGUCAUGCUUGCAGGAAAAUUUCACUUUUAUACAAGCAAUGACGCACAAAUUCAUCAUUUUUUGAAGACAACAUAGAUGAAAUAAUUAAUUCACUCUGCCACAGGCUAUUUUGAAUUACUUUAUCAUCCUACACUAAAACCUUCACAAAGAUCAAAGAGGAAUGUAGCCAUCAUUUUAUCUUAAUUUUCUGCAGGAAGUGGAGAGUAGGUUUCUAUUAAACCUUCUUCACUCACAAAGUAAUUUGAUGUUUCAGAAAUGAUCCCCUAGCAGAUCAUGAUUACUAUUUUUGCCUGUCAUAAGAAGAAUCUCUGCAAGAAGUUCAUAACACUAAUCCGCGAUUGCAGAGGGCAUAUAUAGUCGUUUGGCUAAGGCUAGCAUACCUUAGCAAGAAGAAACAACACUGUAGUCUGUACUUCCUUACAAUUUUUAAGAAUGACCAUUUAAAUCAUCAGAAAGCAAUUUGAUGUUUCAGAAAUGAUCCCCUAGAAGAUCAUGAUUACUAUUUUGCCUGUCAUAAGAAGAAUCUCUGCAAGAAGUUCUAACACUAAUCCCCAAUUGCAGAGGACAUAUAUAGUCCUUUGGCUGAGGCUAGCAUACCUUAGCAAGAAGAAACAACACUCUAAAUCAUCAGAAAAGGAACUCUAAAUCUCCCCCCACUACUAUUGGUCAAGUAUUUUCUUCAUUUACUCAGUCAGAAGCCAAUGGAAAUGCACUUUAACUCUCUGACUUACAAAAGUAUAUGAAUUGCACAAAUGCACAGACCUUAUAAACAUCACAGAUAUAUAGUUUUGUACCAAAUAUAAUGAGUACUUGUAUGGCCAUCUUAAUCUAUUGCUUUUGUAUUGAUUAUAUAAUGCUGGCACCAGUUCAAACAUAGCUCAAUUUGUAAUCCUAACUCAAUAGAGAACACCAGACAGCUGCUAUACGACAUUUUACGCUUUUCCCAAACCUUUAUCAUAACUGUUGCCUAUUAGUUUAAUAAAACUGUUCCAUUAUUUCCAGAAUAAUAAACAAGUCAAAUGGAAAUGCACCAAAUAACCAGCCUACAAUAAGAUUAUAAAAGUUUAGUAAUUCUAUCAUAAAGCAAUCGAGUAAGACAUACCUUUGAUGAUCGCAAAGGAGAAACAUAUACAUUAUGAGCAGCAGAAACCUUCUUUGGGGACAUAUCCGGAAGAUUUGGGAAAGGAGACAACCGAGGUGAUCCUGGAAUUUGACCUGUAUGAUACAGAAACAAACAGGAAAAAGAAAAAGCAGUAGUUUGCAGGCCAAGCUGCACUUAUAACAAAAUAUUCAUAGUUAGAAGCAAAAACAGCAUACCGUCAGCAUUAUUGUUAUCCUCCGGAGACUUUUUACUUUUUUGAGCAACUCCAGCAGGUCCUAACUCCACCAACAAAGGCUUGACUGAAGGAAUAAAUACCUCAUUGUAAAAGGUGAUAAUAUCAACAUGCUCCUGUCCUGUUUUCUGUUUAAAUAUUGAAUUAGCUUAGAAAUAUGAUAAAAAGAACUGGCAUUAAAAGGAAGCUUAGGUAAAGCUUAUUACUCCAUUGUGGCUUGUUGAUGGCCAAUGAACAAAGACGCUGCGGAAAACCUGAGGUUUACAUUGUGGUUGCUUUCUAUAGUUGUAAAUGAUCUCCUUAAAGGUUAGAGUCAUUUGAGAAAUCUGCCAGCAAAAACAUAUGCUUAGAAAGAAAAUAUGGCAGUACAAAUAACAGUGACAUCUGGAACCAUUAUCAGAGUAUACCUUAGCAACCCCAUAAAAGCUGCAUAGGAUAAUUUGAUCAAUAUGUCGAUUAAAAAAUAGCGCAGUCCGUUGACUAAGGAUUUGUUGGAUUAGACAGUAGACCCGCUCCAAAAUUUGCUGAGGUAGUUGCAGCCUUUCGCAUAAGCUUCUGAUUCUAAUAGCAGCCAACUUUACAAUCUACAAACAAGAAAAAUAAAUUUCCAGAUUUAAAAGGGUAAACAAUUUAGAAUUUUUUUUAUAAGUUCUAAAACACAAAUUUUACCUUAUUAAAAAAGAUAUUGAUCCCUGUCUCAGCACAUGUUUCCCCUCCUCCUGCAGGGUUUGGCCUUGUUGGACUGCAGACAUGACAAUCAGAUUAGAAGUUCAUCAUAUUUUUAGUGUUCUUUAAAUUCCAGAUAAUGAACCAAACUAGCAAUAAAAUGGAAAUCUCAACCUUGCAAAAGCAGAUUGAAGAGGUGGUAAGUUUGAUUUAAGAUUCAAAGUCAAUGUACGUUCCUUCACUGGUGAUGUAAAGGAAUUACGCUCUACCAACACACUCCUAUAUUCACUGCAUGCUCUCUUCGGAGACACAGCAUCUCCAUUUUGAUCUGCAACAAAAUCAAUGAGUUAAUAACAGAAUCAGUGGUUUAAUAAAGACAGAAAUGAAAGAUUUGGAGAUGAUUAACCUGAAGAAAACAAAGAUAAAAUGGUACUAGUAAUUAUGAAAUCAGUAUGCAGCACAAGUAAAGAAUGGGGUUUCAAUAUUUGGUAAAUUAUUUUGAAACAAUAUAAAUUUAAAAGAUAUGAAGUGUUAUUUUGAGAAGCUUUUUGGAGUAUGAAAACAUAAUUACAAAUUUACAAUCAAACAGUAAUAGCUAUAAUUUGCUAAAUCAAUUAAACAGAUAAGAUAAAGUUUCUUGUUCCUCAAGUGUUCUGCUACGGUGUGAUUUUAAGAUCUAUAACAGUUCUUACCUAAAUAUAACAUGAAUCACGAGCCCAAGUUACAUGCAGCAAAUUCUAGAAAUUAACAAUGUUGAUGCAAAGAAUUUCCACUACAGCCCCUAAGUGAAUCAUAUGGAAGAUUCAUGCAUACAUAACAUACACAGGCAAUCCAAAAAAGGUUAAUUGAAAUAUAAUAUGGCUUCAAACACGAGCAAAUGGAUAAUUAUACAGUAGAAUCCACUGUUAUCAAAUGGAUAAUGUUUUAUUUAGUUGCUGUCAUUAGAUGAAUGAUUUACAUCUCUGGUCCUGUAUUCUGUUUUAGAAACACAUAAUUCAACAUGUAAGUCAAAGGGUCAUGAAUCAGCUCUGGUAAAUAUUUGAACACAUGCAGUAAUACAAAAGAGUGUUUAAGAAAUAGUUGCCACAACCUUUGGGAUAAACCAUAUAAAAUAAUUUCUGAUGUACAAAAUUCUUUACUUAGCAAUGACAUGUGACUUCCAGUAAUGGGUUAAAACAAACCUGGUGAAUGUUCAUGCUUCUGAAAAGGAAGAGGAGGCAAGCCUCCAGUUGAAAUAUUAUGAUGCAUUGCAAUGGCAUCAAGAGAUGGCAUUGGCUCUGCUAAUAGUCCCAAACGGUUUAUUUCUGCAGCAAGAGUUGGCCUUGCUAUGAUCAAAGAAUUGUACAUUGAUGACCCUUUUUCCCAUGCCAUGCUUUCUAGGAGACGCUCUUCCAAGGAAUUUAAAUGUCGUUUCAACUCUCUCGGAAGUGUUUCUUCAUGUCUCACGAAACUCUCUAUCACCUUGCUCAAAUCAAAAGCUGUUAUCCCUGUUUUUUCUAGAACAGCAGGAAACAUCAUGGUAACUGUUUUGUGUGUAGCCAAAACUAGCUCAGCCGAACAAGCAAGCAUGCAACGAUGAAACCGAUCAUUUGAUAACAGUGAAGUGAGAUUAUUGCCAUUCAAUAUAUGUGAUUCUGCUCUACACAUUGUCUCCAAAACCCUAUAAUAUAACUUCAUGGCUUCCACUUUUCUCUGCUCUGCCCAUAUACUGUCCAUCCGGUUUACACUCUGCAGGUUUCCAGAAAUACACCGCUCGCCGAAUGAAGUAGUUGGAAAUAUUGCCCCCAAUAUUAUGCUUGCCCUACGUGUAACAUCAGUUGUUACAUCCCUGUCACAUGAGGAAAAGAAGCGCAGAAGCUCUGUUGAAGGUCUCGAAAGAAGAGGAGAGAUAAUGUUCCGAAGCCACUUUGCAGUCGUCAUAGCAGUGCUCACUGGUGUAAUGGGAGCCAUCUUAGAAUUACUGACAGGAUUUCCAUUUACAGGUGACACUGGAGAAAGUGGUGGAGACAUUGGACUUGUUAUUGAUUUUGCUGGCGAGGCCAUUGCAUCAUAUUUCCGCUGCAUUAAUAUAACAUGAACCAUGAAUAAAGCAAUCCAGUCAACUGUGAGGGUCAUAGUUUUGCAUGGAAACAGUGAAAUACCUUCAUGCCACAUAUGUUAAUGGAACCUCCAGAUAAGCUCCCAGUACCAAGUAAACUGUCCUCAUCAUUAACAAACAUGCGUUCAUCCAGCUCACCUUUACUAUUGAUUGCAUCAUCAUAAUCGUUCUCCAAGAUAAGUAUACUUGAAUGCAAUGAAUUUUCCUCCAGAAGAUCCUCAAAAUAGAUCAAACCAUCUGUAGACAAAAUGAUACUGGAUUUGGUAUAAAGCAAGAAAAAGAAGUUCUAAAGUUGAAAUAUAAAUCUCAUGGGCAAAUAUGAUUUCUCUUAAAAAAUACAAGCUAAUUCUUCCACCUGUGUUGAUGUAAGCUAGAUUUUCCCUUUCACAUUCUGAAGCUGCACAUGGUUUCUUCUUUAAGAUAUCCACUAUCAAAUUAUUAGCCUUCUCCAUCACUCUCCUCAACUCAUCUUCUGAGGUGUGAUAUUUGUCACAAAGAGAAGCUAGAAGGUCAACACCCUUGUCCGUUCUUUUAGCUGAGCCAAAGCAGUAUACCAUAUCCACCAGUUUGCAAUGUAUUAGCAACAACAUAUAACAUCCGAGUACCAAAAUUAGAAGAUAGAUAUACAAAUUGCCAACUCAUGAACAGUUAAUUACCAAAAAGCAAGGAAUCCUGAAUAUGAAAAUUCCUGAAGCGCACAGGAAUGUGAAGGAUGAGUAUGGCCUGCAAGAAGAUCCAGAAAUAUGAGCAGCGCACAGGUUAACAAAACUUGGUCCAAAUUUUGCCAAUGACUGACAACAGAGAACGGAUUGAAAAAUGCUUGUAUUAAAAUGAGCUGGAUAUUCCAGGGUAUGUAAAAGAACUAACCAAUAUAGAGACUAAUCCAUUUGUACAGGUCACUAGAUCCUUAAAGCGGCUGAAUGCAUGGAUACGGAGAGCCAAAAAUAGUAGCCAUCCAAAGCGAUGGUAGUCAGAAACAUAUCCCAUGCUGUUAGAAACUACAGAAUGCUGACCACUGCUUGCAUCAUUUGGCAAGAAUAACUCCUGAUAUGCACGUUUGUAGUACCUGGUGGGAAACAAGAUGUUCAUAAGACAAUUUUAUCAUAAUUUAUAUCAAUCAACAGUUAUCUUAUGAAAAGUAAGUUAUUCAACAAUACAGAGCACUCAAAGAGGAGUUCUCAAGCAUAGUUCAAAUUGUUGCAACACAGAUGAUUCCAGAAUGCACAUCUAAUACAUCAAACUGGGUCCCUAACAACUAAACUAGACAUUAGCAUGCUAGGAGAUUUCAUAGAUACAAUGCUAUGUAAGAAGUAAUUAUUUGAAUGCAAAUUAGCAAUGAAAGUUUACAGCCAUCUAUUCAAAAAUGGCAGCUCAGUGCAUGAGGCACCUGCCAUCGCAAGGUGUAGGGAGGAUGUACGCAGCCUUACCCCCAUAUGGCUAUUUUUAUGUGUUUCAAACCCAUGAACUCUAGGUCAUAAUGGAACAACCUUGCCAUUACGCCAAGGCUCACCCAAUUAAGCCAUUUGCUUAUAAACUCUAAAAUAACAAGGAGCAACUACUAGGUAGAAAUUGGUAUCAGCAAAAGGAUCAAUUUCUAGCUUUAGCAUUAAUAAUUUUAUUAAGAUUUCCAUGCAAAACAAAAAAUGCCUUUCAUAGAACAACAUAGCUAUCAUCAAAAUUUUGGCAGUUCCACUUUUAUAGGUGAAUUGCAAGUUCAUCCUUCAGCUUCAUGUUGCAACUACUUAUCACAAAGAACAAUUAAUUAAAAAAAAAUGCACCAAUGCAAGCAACAAAAAACUUCAUAUAUGCUAUAUACAUAACAGCCCUUGGUAGGUACAUUGAUUAGCAAAUAUUAGAGUGAGGAGAAAAAAGGUAUAUGCUGAUCACUCUCUGAAUUGCUCACCCGCCGCAGCAGCUCACUGAAUUUAAAAAAGCUAUGCUAAACACCUUCUGAAUUAGAGAUAGACAGAAUUCAUGUCAUAGUAUAGGCCUCUCAGAGAGGCCAAGUUCUCAGCAUAUCGAAAUUAUCAUAGCAUUUACUUAUGGUGGACAAGUAGAAAGGUAGUGAAUGAUGAAUUCAACUAUGACAUUGAAGUUUUAUAGUCAGUAAUAUAAUAUAAGGAUCUUCUUAAAAAUCUAGGAUUUAAAUAUUAUAAUUUUUUGGAUACUUGAGUCUCAUAAUCAUAAUUCUAUUACAAUUUGAGAGCAUUUAAGACUUACAUGCUUCCUCUUCGUGUUUUUGGAACGAAGUUGGUUAAAAUUAGUUUUGUCAAAAAUGGUUGAAAUUCCAUGUAAGUUAUUUAAGCUCCAACUCAUUACCAUUUCCAAGGAAACCGAAGGAACAGCAAAAUUUUGAGUUUAUUUUGAAUUCCUUAUUUUUUCUUAUGUAUUGUCAUCUUUGUUCUCAAAUAUAGGCUCUCGUUGGCUUGAAGAGCUUCCCCUACAAUUGUCGGUUUAAACGACUCUGUACUUUCCGUUUUAGCUGAUCAAGAUCUACAUCAGAUACCAACCAUGAAGAUAUAAUUCACUAUAAAAUAUACAUGUUCUACACCUUUUAGGAUGGCAUCUUUUGGAUUGCUGGUUGAUUUUAACACAUGGAAUUAUAGAAACACCCAAAACCAAACAUCAGAAAAUGGGAUAACUGCAAAGGCAAUAAGGAAAAUUUCUUUUCCUAGUGCAACCACUAGAGAACAACUAGACAUUUGAAAUGACUAUAGUAAAGCCUUUACGGAAGAUACUUAAAAUCAAAGUGAAGCGAUUAUAGAGUAAGCAUGAAAACCAGCACAGAGUAGUCUAUUAUGACCCUAGUUAAGAAUUAAGAACUCCAGACAUCCGUACUUAAUGCAAUCUUUGGUUCAGUUUUCAAGCGAAGUAACAAACUAACAGUAUUCUUUAAAUUAUUGAAAAAAUCUAGAACCAUUCUACUAAUAAUUUAUUUAAAUCUAGGAUUCAGUUAUUUGAUUUUUUUGCUGUACUUUUGGCAACUCCGUACUUCUUUUUGGUUUCAGAUAUUUUCCUCUGACCAUACUUAAUGCCAACAUCAAACAUGUGACAAUGAUUUUCAGUAUUGAAAAUAGGCCAAUGACAAAACUGCUGGCACAUGUUACAGAAUAUAUGCAGUCUUAAAAUUUCAGUUUGCAAGCUACCAAAAGACAAGCAACUAGCCCCAAUAGCAGGGAAAAUCAUCCCAGUAAUUUUUUACCUGCUUAGAAGACUCAAGUGGACAAUGUUUGCCUGUAGUUCCUUCAGCUAAUCACAAUAAUGAGUCAGUGACAAAAAUUUAAGAGAAGAGGUCAUGGAUAAAAAUGACUUCUAUUUUCAAUACCUCAAGCCUCUUCUCCCAAUCUGAUCCAUAUAGACCAGUUAAAAUAUGACCAGCCUUGAGACAAAACUGCGGUAUCUCCUUGAAGAAAUCCACAACACUACAGAUUCAAAGAAAAAAGAAACUGAUUGAUCCAAACCAACCCUGAGGCAAAAAGAAUUAAAUGGAGAAAUAAAAGAAAUGGGCUUACUUCAUUUUAAGAACCCUCAAUAUCCUACAAAGAGUGAUACCGUUUUCUUCCUUCUCCUGCUUACCUCUCCCCUUGCUUAAUCUUGUUACACAGUACAGAACAAACGCCGACCAAAACCUUUCAAUCUCCUCAGGCUUGAAGAGUGGAGAGGACAGAAAAAGAAGCAAUUUUGACAUCAGAUCAUGAUCUAAAUAAGCUCAAAAAUUACCACAAAACAAAAAAAUUACCGAUCCACUUCCGAUUGCUGACAUGUUCGCUAAGAGGAUGUGCUUGCUUUCUCUGAACAAAACCAUCGCCUGCCUCAUCGUGCUCUCGUCAAGAGCCAGCUUGCUCUGCUCAACAGGUCAGCCGUCUCAGAUCACACACGGAAAAGAGCACAAAGGGACAGAGAUAGAAAGUGUAUAGAAAGAUAGAAAGGGAGAAAGGGCUCCAGAUCAAACAAAAGGACCCAGAGACUAUAUGAAAACCUUGCAGACAUCGGCAAAUCGGGCUUCCAUAGCUCCGCCAUCAUCCGAAGGAAAAGAAAUCGACGGCUUCACGUCCUCCAUAUUCACAGAAGCUUGGCUCAUGGAUUCAAACCACCGUUGCCUCAAACCCUAGCCGAUCUAUCAUCCCUUUCCUAAUCCCCCAAGGUGAGAACCAGGGAACCCCCUAGAGAUCCAACAACAAAGAGGAAAGAAAGCUUAAAUACCAGCAGAUCUCGCCCAAAUACCUCUCUUCCCUCCUCAAUCCUCCCGAUUCACGGCCGAUAGGCCGCCGGAGAGCGCCCGAAGAACCCGAUCUGCUGCAGAUACGGCGGCGGAGGCGGCGGAUCGGAUCCAAACGAGGCUAGGGUUUUGGGGAGAUCGUUGGAGUACUCGCAAAACCCUCUUUUUUCCCUCCCUCUCUCUCUUCCCCCUCUCACUUCCCUCCCUUUUUUUUUCCUGCCCCGUUUUAUAUUCCCUUUUUUUGGCAGAGAAAUCCUUCCGUUUUAGCGCGGGAAAACAGAGGCAUGCCAUAGCGUCAUACAUGUCAUGACCGACCAUGCAUACAUAGUUUCUCCAAUCAAGACUCGACGCGUGGACUGAGAGGACUUUUGCCGCCAAAUUCCUAGAGAUGGGAAGCGGUGGUCCCACCGUUGGGCGCGGGGGCGGCAUCGAGGAGGGGCCGACGCUGGACCGACCGCGGCGUCUGGCUUAUCGGGACACGUGUCCUUUUAUCGUUGUUCGGGUGACUGGAUAUAUUCCUCCUGGGGGAUACGUACAGAGCCAGUCACGGUUCUCCGAUCUCGUGUAUUUGUACGUGGGUCCCACGAGAGUCGAUGCCUGCUGCUCGUAUGCUUUGGGGUGCGGAGGAUUUUGUUUGCGAUCCGGGCCGUCCAGUCCACGUGGAAAAGUAAGGGUUCUGUGAUUUGUGUGAUGAGAAAGUACUGCAUUCUUUUCACUCCUUUUGUCUGCAUAGUUAAGAAAUACUCUUUCCUCUAACAAAACAAAAAUAAAAAGAGAAAAUACUGCAAUUUUUUUAGCACUUCUUCCUAAUGGGCUAGCAUUCUCCAUGUGGUAUGUAAAUUUGUACAUUAGUAUUACAAAAUAAUAUAUUCUUUAGGGAGUAUUUGGUAUGGAGCGAUCAUCUUAAUACCAGGGAUGAUAUGGGCAUAGGUCAUGAGAUAACCAUAUUUGGUUGCACCAUAAUAAUCACAGUGAUUUCAAAUCACCAUCCAACUUAGCAAUAGAAUACUAUUUUUAAAGUUGGAAAUCCAAUAUCACCCUAGGGCAAUAAUUUUAAGCUGAAAUUUGUAGACAAAAAUAUAGUUCAAUUGAACAGAAGAAUUGAUAUAUUAAUAUACCAUUAAUAUAUUAUAUUAAUAUUAUAUGUAGGAUGUUAUAUUAUAUUAAUAUUAUAUAUUAUAUUUAUGAUAUAUAUUAUAUUAUAAUAUAUAAUUGCAUUAUAGAAGAUAAAUAUUAUUGUACUUUAUAUUUAUAUAAUGAAGUUAUUUAAAUAUUGCUUUAAUCUGCCUUUUUUCCUAAUCAAAAUAAAUAUUAGUAUUAAAAAAAAUAUUACAAGUAUAAAUAAAAAUAUUAAUUCUAUAAUAAUAAUUAAUAUAUGUUAAUAGCAUUAAUAAUUUAUAAGACUAAUAAAUAUAUUUUUAUAAAAUAUGACAAGGAUGGUUUUGAUAUUAUAUGAUUAGUAAUUUUAUAUUUCUAUGAAUACCAAAUAGGUCACUCAUGAAUACGUAAGAAUCUUUAAUUAUUGAAAUAUAACAUACCAAAUAUAGUAAUUUUAAAUUAUUGAGAAUCAGAUUAUUUUGGAAUGAAAACCACUAAUGAUCCAAAAUUAUCUUAGUGAUCCUAUUUGGACCACAAAUUCAUUUAUUGGAUGGUUUGGACGUUCUUAUUUGAACAUGUCCAAUGACCUUAGCAUCUGAGGCAUGUUGCCAAUCGAGCUAAUGACAAUGAUGAUCAUGACAACAUGUCCUUGUGGUCUACAAUUUGAAAGGACUGAAAACUUUGCAAGGCAAUUGCAGCAUACGCUUUUUUUAUCCGUGAACUGCGAAAUUUGUAAUUUAAAAGGAUGAUUAUGAGCAAACUUACAUGCAUAUCAUCCUUCUAGACUCCAUGGAAUGAUUGCCCUGAACAUAUAGCUAAGGCACCAAUGUCACAACUACUUGAUUUUUCUUUAAGUCAUACAUCAGCAAAUCAUAUUGACUAAAAAAAAAAAAAGCCAAACCAUAUGGUGUGAUUUAUCGCAUUCCAACAUCUAUAAAAUCAUGUUAAUUUGCUUGUUGAGAAAUUUAAAUAGUUUAAGUGAGGACUGAAAUAAAGCAGAAAAAACUACGAAUAGAGAUUAAGUGAUGGUGAGUAAUUGUCUUAUUGGAGGCAUGAAGUUAGUUUCUUUAAAACGAGAGAUUCGAUAAGUGGAAAGAAUUAAAAGAGAAGAAGCAGCAGCGGCGCAAAAUAGAGUCCUUCCAGGGUAAAGUGGUACCGGGAGCAUUCGCUUUACCUUUACACGCUAAAUUGAAGUGUUUUAGGAGCCCCUUUCGGUCCUUGUGACCCAUAGUUUUACUAAUAAAAGUCUCUUGAUAUAAGGAGACUAUGGCUGUUAUUUAUUGGCUCAUGCAUUAAUGUAAUCAUACUUGUUGAUGAGGCAGCACAAUUGCUUCUCUGCUUCUUUAUUAUAAAGUUUAUUCAUCCAAACAGGAGCUAAUCAAUGAUUCUCUCUCCAAAAAGGGUCCCAUGAACACUUGGUUGGAUGUCCUUGUUUCGUAUUGAAUUGCUUAUAAUUUUGAGAGGUUGACUAUGACUACGUAGAUCUAGCUUUCUUGAUCAUUUUUCCAGAAAAAUGAACAUUUCAUAGUAGAAAAUAGAUAAUUACCCGAUACCUAUUUUCCUUUAGUGCACGCGGAUAUUAAAUUUUGAUUUUUCUUGUGCUUUAUUCUAAACAUCGGCUUUAUGUUGAUCCCUGGGACCCUAGCUGCUGGGAAGAAAGAAACAUUGUACAAAUUAGACGACCGUAUAAAUAAGUGGACGUGCCGGAGUGGUUAUCGGGCAUGACUAGAAAUCAUGUGGGCUUUGCCCGCGCAGGUUCAAAUCCUGCCGUCCACGAUUUUUGCUGCUUUUUCACCAUUUUCUUCCAACGAAUAUUGUGAUAUUAAAUGUUUAUGUUUAUAGGAUAAUUAUUUAAGAAAACAAAUCCUAGGCAUUCUUUCUGAGCCUUUUCUUUUAUCUAUUUAUUAUUUAUUUUUCCUAUUUCAUUUACCUUUAAGUUAAAUGUUUAAUUUUUUAUGGAUGUUUCUUAAGAAAAACUUCUAGACAUUCUUUUUGAGACUUUUCUUUAUCUAUUUUUUUUAUUCCAUUUUCUUUUAAAUAAUAUUGUGUUCUUCAAGUUAUUCUUUUUUUUUUGGGCUAAAACAGGCAUUUCAUACAUCACGUAUACAAAUACACCCAAUAGAAUCAGAAAACAAAAGGUCUCGAAGUGCUCUGGGCAUCUCUCUCUCCUCAAACCAUAGGGUACUUCCUGAGUGGCUCGCAACAUAUGCCACCACCCAGUCAACCACCCCGUUGGCCUCACGAUAUACAUGCAUGGCCUGGAAUGUGAUACUCUCCCUCGCGGAGCAGGAGGUGAACUCCCCCAUAGCUGCUCGAGCUCUUUCAGACCCAGCAGAUCACAGUGGCCGAAUCUUCCUCUAGUAGGACUGAACUCGCCUGAAGCACUCACCGCGCGUAACACAUGCCGAUCCAAGCCACCUACAGCUCUGCCUCAGGAAUCGAGGUAUCAAAAAUCUGACAGCUCUCCGCUGCCACCACACCAAAGCUCGGCCCCCUAAUGACGAAUCCAGCCCCACCUCUCCUACCUCCAUCCAAGACUGAGCCAUCAAAAUUGACCUUGAGGAAACUCGAGGGUGGAGGCUCCCAGAUAAAGAAUACCCUAUGUAGAGCAACCGAAGCAGUAUGGGGGCCCCAGAUGUCCCGAGCUGUCAAAGGUCUAUGGGCUAGAUCUACAUGUAUGAUCUCUACUGCCUGAGCUCGAGCCUGCUCCAUCACGAACCGCGGUGAUGGGCUGCCCUCGCCAAAAACCCGGGUGUUCCUGGCCAGUUAUACCUGAUAAGCUAUACAAGAUGCCCGAAUAGCCAUGCUGCGUAUCUGAGGGAUACCAGCCCAUCGAUGAAUCACCUCCAAAAAGCAAGCCCUCCGGCUCCAAGUGUCCUCCGGAAUCCCAGUCAGACUCCAAGCACCCCGCGCCCAAUCGCACUGGAAGAGCACAUGAUCCACAGACUCGUUCACCUCACAAUCCGGGCAUAGGGGGAAAGACUCACUCCUUGUCUACUCAACACUGAGCACGUCAGCAAAACGCUCCCAGGCCACCUUCCAGAGGAAGAGAGCGACCCUCUGGUGUAGCCCGAACCUCCACACCCAGCCACAGUCUAAGCCCGGCUCUAACACCCGCUGAAUAGCUCGGGAAACAUCACCGACCCCAACACUUGCUAUGUAAGUAAUGCUCCAAACCCUGACAUCUGGACCUGCAUAUCCCAAAAUGGGGAGCGUCCGAACCUGCUCUGCCAAAUGCUCUCCAAACAACUGGCCUAGUCUGUCACCAUCCCACUUCGUCGCCCUCGGCCUGAAAAGGUCAGAAACUCGGAGCCCCUCUGCCCCCUCACCACUAAACAUCAUCGGCCAUAAUCUCAAUGGGAGUGCAUCCACCCAUGGCUCCUCUACCACAUCAACGCUCCGUCCGUCGCCGAUUAACCAUCUGGAAUGCGCCAAGGCCAUCGGCAAGUACCUCCCAAUCUCUCGCCACAUAAAGGAACACCUCCGGCUGUCUACAGCCUGUGUAGUAAAUCCGGCUCGACCGUAUCUAGCCAUCAUGAUCUGACUCCAAAAUCCAUGAGGCUCCAAAACAACCUGCACUGCCCGCCGUGCCAGAAAAGCCUUGCAUCGCGCCAGGAGUGACUGCACCCGUAAGCCACCCUCACGUAGAGGCAAGCAUACUCUCUCCCAGGCCACCAGAUGUACUCCAUGACCUCCCCCACAGAGCCCCAUAAGAAACUCCGCAUGAACCUCUCAAUCGCCUCCAGGACCGUCUUCGGCAUAACAUUAUAUGCCAUUAGAUAAAUGGGCAUAGAAUAUAGAACUGACCUGAUCAGCGUCAAUCUGCCCAUCAUAGAGAGUGAUGAUGCUCUCCAACCCUCUAGUCUGCUUCGCACCCUCUCCACCAAGGUAGAGCACUCCGCCACCCGUAAUCUCCUCCCUAUAAGGGGGACCUCUAGGUAAACCAGGGCCCCCUCCUCCUACAUCCCUAGAAUCGUCCUGACCUCCCGUCGCACCCUUCGCUCUGUACUCGAAUUGAAGUGUAUGGCAGAUUUUUGGAGGUUGACUCUCUGCCCGGACAUCUCACAGUACUCUAUCAAAGCCCCUUGAAGGGCUCUCGCAUCAGUCUCUCUCGCCUUGGUGAGCAAGAGGCAGUCGUCUGCAAAAAGUAAGUGAGAAAUGGGGCGGGCACCGGGGGCUAGACUAUAGGCUACCAACUCCCGGUUCCCACAAGCAACAUGCAAAGCACGAGAGAGUACAUCAGAACAAAUAUUAAAUAGAUACGGGGAAAGAGGACAUCCCUGACGAAGACCCAUAGUAGCUCGAAAGAAUGGUGUGGCAUGCUAUUGACCCAAAUGGAAAAGCUAGGCCUUUGCGCACAUCCCAAUAUCCAGUCAAUCCAAAUCUGGUGAAACCCGAAGCUCUCUAGCGCUCGCCGAAGAAAAUUCCACCGUAUCCGAUCGUAGGCACGUUCCAUGUCCAGCUUCAUGCCAUCAAGCAUCGCCUCCUCGAGGCGCGCAAUAGGUCCCCCAUCAUCUCCUGAGCUAGCAAAAUGUUAUUAGAAAUACUCCUCCCUCCUAUAAAAGUUCCCUGCUCCUGGCUAAUGAUCCUCGGCAGCAUAUCUUUCAUCCUCCCUACCAUGAUCCUCGCGACCACCUUGUACAUAGUAGUGCAUAAACUAAUGGGUCUAUAAUGACUCAGCUCCGAAGCAUUCGUUAUCAAUGUUAUAAAAGUGGCCUUCCAAUCAUCUGCCAUCACCGCCCGACUGAAGUAAAGCUGUACUGCCUUCACCACUCCCCUCCGAAUAAUGCACCAAUACCUUCGAAAGAAGAAGGGUGAGAAUCCGUUCGGUCCUGGGGCCUUAUCCUCGGCAAGAUUCCAUAUCGCCUCCUGCAUCUCCAUCUUUAACACUGGCUGAAUCAAAACUGUAUUUUUUGUCUCCUCAAUACCGACCGCCGGCCUGGGGAGCUAACCUGUAACAUGUGUUCCAUUAUCCUCCGUCCACUUAGAUCUAAAGAACUCCACUAACACCUGUCUCACUAUAGCAUCCUCCUCCACCCGCUGGCCUGCUCCAACCCUCAAAGAGCGAAUCAUGUUCCUCUGUCUCCUAAUGACUGUCGACCGGUGAAAGAAGCUGGUGUUUCGGUCACCAUCCUUAACCCACUAUACUCUGGACUUUUGUCUCCAAAAGAUCUCCUGCUGGCGAAGCAGUGAAUGAUGGGUAGCUAGAGAUCGCCAUAAAUCCGCCAUAUCCGCCACCGUAAGCUCCUCUCCCCGAUCCUCCCGCCCCUGGAAAUCCACUAUCAGAGCCUCCACCUCCUCUAGUCUCCGAAAAAUAUUGUCGACGACCUCACGGUUCCAUCAACGAAGACGUCGCUUGGUGAGGUCUAGCCUACACGACACCUUUUGCAUAGCAUCACCCCGUACUCGCAUGCGCCAAGCCUCCCUGACCACAUCCCAAGACUGGGGGUAUGACAACCAUAGCUUCUCAAAGUGGAAAGGGCUAUAAUGUGUGGACCCCGACAUUGUGGAGAUCAAAAGAAGGCAAUGAUCAGAUGCAAUCCAGGCUAGAUGACUAACCUGAUAGGAUGGAAAACGCUGAACCUAGUUCGGAGAAGCAAUUACCCUAUCAAUCCACUCCCACACUCUAGCCUGCCUAAGCUGAUUGUUGCACCAGGUAAAUCGAGGUCCAGAGAAGCCGAGGUCCACCAGUCCAUUCCUCUCCAAAACCUCCCGAAACUCUCUUUUAUCCACAGAAUCCAUGUAGGCCAUGCCUCUUCUUUUCUCACUGGGGCUUAAAAUGCAAUUAAAAUCACCUAUCACUAUAGUCGGCACUCCCUGGGUCAAUAGACUCGUCAGUUCAUCCCAAAGGACUCUCCUAGUCCGGUAGUCGGUGCUGGCAUAAGCCCCACACAGAACCCACGGAGGGUCAUUUGGUUCCGAAAUUAUCAUCACAACCUGCUGAGAACAAUUGCAGAUAAUAUCUACAAAAGCUAUCCCCCGCUUCCAUAACACCAGGAUGCCCCCAGACAAGCCCCGAGACUCAAUUGCAAAAGAUUCCCAAUCAACUGUCAAGCGUCGCUGCACACGACACAACCCAUCUCCCGACACCCGAGUUUCACAAAGAAAGCAGAUAUCCGGGCAAUGAAGCUGAACUAAUCUCUUAAAUGAUGACAAGAAGGACGGCUUGGCCGCCCCCCUAUAGUUUCAAGCGAGUACCUUCAUUCAAAAACUAUGAGAAGAAAUUUGGCCCUCUCUCCCUGGGCUAAUCACUCCCGGUGUAAAGGUCACUCCUCCUUCCCUUGAUGCCAAAUCAUCUCCAUGGAUCGCAGCUCUCAGUAGGUCCACCACCUUCCCAUGCUCCAAAAUUGGUGAAGAUGAUCCCUGUCCCGAGCCACAUGACAUACCUCUCCUCACCAUUGCCCCUGAUGGCGAUGGCAACCGCACCACCCUUGGGAUGGAGCAUUUUGGCACCUCAGGGUGCCCCUUCUCAGGCCUCCCCUUCCUUGCUAGCUUAGAAGAAGAAACCAUCCCUUUGUGAGGACCCCCAGCCGAACGCUCCUUGGAGCGCCGUACCAGAACCUCAUCCAUUUCCUCCAUCGUCGCUCCACCUUCCAGCCCCCGCCCCUUGGCCGGAGCCCUCCCGCCGCCUCUAGUCGUUGCCGUCCGCAGUGAUGGUGCCUUCUCCGCCGCUCGCAUCCCGCUCGACAGGGGGAGACCUUCCUUAGUUGGUGCCUUCUCCGCCACUGCUCCACUGGUAGCAGCACCCGUCGGCAACAGUCGAAUAGGGGCUCUCGUCGGGGGCAGGGAGGCGCUCCGGAAGUGUCUCCUCCCUUCCCCCCUCCGGCGAGUCGUCAGGUCUUCGAAGGAGGAAGAUGAAGACGAUAUGGGGAGAUUCGACCCACUCGCAACUCGUCCCACUCCGGAGAUCCGAGUCGACUUAGCCGAGCUCCUAGCCCGCUUCAUCGGGCUUGGGCCCUGGCCUAAGGAUAGCCCGAUUGCAACGGCCUGAUCCGACUUCACCUGGCCCAACCACCUUGGGCCGCUGGGCUUGGCACGAGCCCAACCGACCCGGCCCGCCCCGACUCCGCCCGGCCCGACUCACCCACAGUCCUAGCAGACUCCGAGUUUGAACCGGCCCCCGCACCGAGUUUAGUUGCCUCGGUAUCCUUUGCCACCGAGUCGCCUGCCACCCCCUUCUUCGGCAACCGCCGUCUGGCCACCUUGGUUGGUCGCCGGCACCGGCACUCUGUGCGUGUCUAGCCAUGGGCUAGAGACUCGGCGGCCGCACUUCCCGUCCCCUGCUGGUUUCGACUGGCCACUGGAAUCGUGGCCGGGCUUCUCUCCCACAGUCACUUUGGCCCUGGACCCCCCACUCUCGGUAUCCGACCCUGGGGUAGCAGACUGGCACCCGUUCCCUCCAUGGCCGAGCCGACCACAUUGGUAGCAGACCGACGGCAGAUACUCAUACAUGAAGGUCUGCGAGAGCUUCCCUUCCUUCCCCCUGAUGAACACCCCCGGCCGCACAGGUAAGCUGGCGUCCACCUCAACCUUGAUCCUCGCAUACCCCAUGCGAUAGCGAUCCUUCGUGAAGCCAUCAGCUUCGAUUGGGAUGCCGACCUCCGUAACAAUCUCUCAGAUGGACUCCUUGCGCCAAUACUCGAGUGGCAACCCUGGAAGGCGUAGCCAAACCACCACCCUAUUGACCUUCUUCCUCCCGGGAACGAAGUCAGGCUGCCACCUCUCCAUCGCUAGUAACUGGCCGGCUAUUAUCCACGGACCUCUUACCAGCAUUGCCUCUCUGUCCUCCACAUUUCGAAAAUGUAGAGCGAAGUACCCGGAGACUAUAGGGAAGGCUUCAACCUCGUAGUCCAACUUUCCUUUGGCUUUCAUCUUCCGGGCAGCCCACUCCGUUGGGACUCUCCUCCCCAAGCUCCUUGCAAUCACCACCGUGGAGCUCCAGGCCUCCCUCUCCUUCUCCACCCACUCCGGCGUCAGCUCCAACAACUUCGGGAACCUCCUCUGGACCUCCUCUAACUCCUCAGCUGGGAUCUCAUGGUUGGUCCACAUGGAUGGUCGGGCCGAGCCCCUAGUCACCUCCGACCAGGACCGCGAGGACCCAGCCUUCCCAGGGCCCUAGCGCUUCCUAGCACCCUUAGGGGUCUUCGCUCCCUCCGUCUCCUUCCCCUUUCCUUUUGCCCCCCUAGUGUCCAUACUCCACCCCUCCCAGCUGUUUGGGGAAAUGCCACACCAGGUGCAUGACUUUUGGUGCACCUGCUCGCACCCGCUCGCUCCCCCUUGCCAGCUGCAAUUUUCCAGUGAAUUGUUUGUAGGGCGAAUAGGUAGAAGCUCUUUGGAACGCCAUGGCAGCAGUUCUGCUUUCUUCCUAGGCAGCGAUACAUAGCAAAUGUUUAAGUUUCCGCAAUCAUAUUUUUGAGACUUUUAUUUUAUUUAUUUAUCAUAUAUUUUUUAAUUAAUAUUGUGAACUUUUAGUAAUUUUUCAAAGAGCUAAUGUUCUCCUUGUGGGCUGUGGAGGGGAGUUUCCUUGGGUACUCCAUAAUUUGUUAUUUUCUGAUUUUGUUGGGUAUAUCUGUACUCGUAUUGUAUGACAUACCCACUUUAGCAAAAAAAAAAGAAAAAGCUAAUGUUCUCUCUAGUUUGCACAUGAAGGAGGGAGGGUUGAUCGGCCAAUCUUAGGCUUGACAAUUUUUUUUUCCACUUUCAAUUUUUUAUAAAUUAUUUUUUUGAGAUCUGAAUCAUAAAUUGAGUACAACAUCAUCUUCUUCAAUAUACGGUUCAUGUCCAAGCCAUACAUUAACAACAAAUUUGGCAUCUAAUGAUCCCAUAUAGUCUCUAAGCAAACCAACAUGCAGCGUCUAAUACAUUAUCUUCACUGAGAAAGCGAGCUUCCAACCAACAAAAAGACAAGGGGAUGGGAUUAGAGACAAAGUAGGCUAUUCUUUUUUCCUUUUUUUUUUUUUUUGAAGCGGCUACAGAGAAAAUCUCCGGAAUGCCGGGCGACGAAGGAAGUGACCCAGUCUGCUACCCUGUUCGCCUUCCUAAAUACGUGUGCUGCCUGAAAGUCACCCAUCAUCUGAACCAUCCUGCGAAUAUCCCGGAUAAGGGGAUGACCAUCACCAUACCCAUUCUGCCGGGCUAUACUUUUUCCUUCACAAAGAGCUCUUUUUCUCUCUAUCCCCUUCGAAGGUUGGGAGGAGAGGUCUCGAGCCAAUGAUUUCAGACUCGUCCCAGAGCUUCGUCUAAGUCUGGAGGAAGUAUGGCAUGAUAUUUUGGAGAGACAAGGGAAGUCAAUCCGUAGACAAGAGGAUAGAGCGAUGUCUCAGUAACAUUUUUAGAUUAAUGGGGAUUCCAUGGGUAAAACUUGCCCCUCCCCAAAUGGUCCAAGGAUUCUUUGUGAGAGAGGACAGCGCAAAAGGGGAUUGCAUUCCCAAACAAUUUCCUCUUGCAUGGGCACCAGAGAUUUUUAUGCUCCCAACCAGCACCCUAUUUAUUUACCUGUCGGGCCAUGCAUUUAGUAUCCAAACACAUCUAAAUCACCUAAAAGAUCCCUCAACCUUGAAAGACAACAAUCAAGCAAAGAUGCCAUACAUGCUGAAGUCUGGGCCAAUUAAGAGGCAUCCGGCGCCGGCCCAAUCCUUAGACAACUUAAACGGCCGCUCCAGCCCAAAGAAGACCCAUCGCAGAAAAAGCCUCAAAGACAGAAUGGAAAAAAAAAACCCCUCUGUGAAUUCGCCUUAGGCCAGCUCACUGCAGAGAAAGCCUCAAAGAUAAAACGGUGUUAGGCCCCUAAAUAUAUUAGGCCGCUUCUGAAGGCAUUGUGUUCCUAAGAGAGUAGGUUCCUACUUAGCCCUCCCGGUCACAAUAGGAGAAAACUAAAAUUUUUAAAGAUUGUCAAACAUUGCGAUUAUGUCUCGAGAGAGGCGAACACAUUAGCUGAUCCUGGCCUUGAUAGCCAAAAUAGGCAAAAUGGGUGGCUGGGUCAUGGAACUCAAUGUUUGCUUGUCUUGGUGGCUGGACCCCACCUUCAACUCUGUAACAACACCAGCCAGCUGAGAGCUGACUCCAGCCAAAGCUGAACCCCAUCCCAUCCGGGCAAACGCUCGGUCGUGACCUCCCCUUUUUUAAGAAGGAAAAGCUUGUAUAAAUUUGCAAAUUUCAUAAUGAAGGUAGCUGACAAAUAAAUUCUGUUUUGGGACUUGCUCCUGUGUACAACUUGUGGAAAAGCGAAGGCAGAGGGAACAUAUAUUGAUUCUAAUCAUAAAAUUAUCCCAUCGGAACCUUUGGUUCAGAAGGGCUGGGAUGUUCCAAGUAGAGCUGCACCUUCAAAGGUUCACUGCUCAUCGACUUGAUCGGGGUUAUGUGUGGGGGCUGCAGCCACUGCUUUGUAUCUGUUGGAAUCCAGAGCUGUGCUUCCUUGCUAGUGUCCUGAGGGAGGGCACGGAAGUAGGCAGUGAUCUCCCAGCUGCUACCUGUAUUACAUUGCACAAGCAUUCAAUAACUCAACACAUUCUGUCAUGCACGAUGAAGCAAGUAGAAAUGGUUAGUAUUUGAUAAAUACCAGGAGGGAGGGGCUUUGUGACAGGCUUGGCAACCGUAAGCUUGAUCAGGAAAGCUCUUAGAGCAAAUUCAAGACUGUUCUCCUCCACCUUGGAGCUGUAUGACUGGUUCAAAUUGAGUUUGAACACAAAUCUCUCAACUGGGACAUGUUCUUUGUCAUAGAAGAUUACUGUCACCCUCUCUACCAAACCCUGCCAUCAAAAGAAAAAAAAAGUGAGGCAGGAGGCUUAUUGGUAAGAAUUUUUAAAUCUGACAGUAAGUGAGAAGUUUAUUUUCACCACCAAAGAUUCUAGUCCAACUCCUCCCUACCAAGUAGCAGAAUUCAUACUACUGCUUUCUUGAGACCUAUUUUUUCUAAUCACUUCUGAUAAGUGACUGAGUUCAUUAUUCUUCCCGUUUCUCAUUUUGCUUUCCCUAAUAGUUUCCAUGAACUUCCCAAGUUUGUUCCCGUAAUGUUCCUCAAUUCAUCUCCCAGAUGGGUUCUGGAAACACCUGGUUGCAUAGGAAUCACAUUUCACAGGUGCCUAUAUACAGAUAAAUGGCAGCUAGUGCCUGAAAGUAAGCUUGCUAGAUUGUAUAGAUGCCAUAUACCCAACGCAUAGGACUGAUCUGAUUCCAAUCUAGGUAAUGCAAUAAUGAAUGCAAGAGUAUCAAUGUCAUGAGAGCAUCAUAUAGAUGACAAUAAUGUCAAUAAGAGAGAACAUUAUUGCUUUAUUUUGUAAGUACAAGAUUGUAUUCAGGGAAUUGAUUUAUGCUUUUCAACAUUCGAUCAGAUAUCCAUUGGUCUGAUGCAAGGCACAUGAUAGAAAUUAGAGAUAAGACAUGGAAGCAGAAUCUCAUACUAAAAACCUUUCUUGAGAGGCAAAUCAGCUAAUAAUGCACUUCCCACUAUUAUAGGAAUUUUUAUUUUUAGAAAAAGAUUCAUGCUCAUAUCAUGCCUAAAUUAGUUUUUUAAUAUGAAACGCAUGAAAAUUAGAUACUUGUAACACGAUAGUUCUUGUUACAAUGGAAAAGGUACAUUGGUGGGGGAUGAUAAGCAAAACUAAGAAAUAUCCCACAGAGCCUCUGUAGCAAGAUUACAUUGCGGCAGUACAUAUACAACGAGGAGCUACAUCAUAGUUGUUGCAACAUCCACAGUUUUAUCAAGCCCUAGCGGCUCACCUACAGUAAUACUCUUUCAUUUUGUCUAAUUAAUAACAUGCUUUGACAUGACCUUCCAGUGCUAUCUCAUUUCAACAUAACUCAGAGAUGCAUAAAAAUUUCUGCAAAUAUAUGGGCUUCUGCUUUGCUUUAAAGCUGUUUGAAAAGAUAAGGCCACAAUCAUCUUUCACGACCCCACCAAGAUAGGUUGCAUACUAUAUUACAGAAGAAGCUGUUGAAAAGAUUUAGCUUUAGGUUUCACAGAUGCCUUUUGUUGCCACAGAUUGCAUAAAACUGAAUAGCUCCGAUAAAUUCCUAUUAUAAUGCAAAGUUUAUGCCUAUGAUGAUCCAACAAGGGUAGUAUCUGAAAAUCCGCCAAUUCCAGUAUUUUGAGAAGCUCCCAGAAAACUACCCUAGAGAACAUAUUUCAAAUUGGGACAUUUAGUACCAAUUUAGAUACAUUCACAUUCAUAAUAUGCCAUAAGAUGUAGGAAAUGGAACAACUGUGUCAAUGCCAUCUGUCAGUGGAUGCAUGAUUAGCCAUGUCUUCUUCCUUCCCCCACUCAAAAGGAUUAGUCGAGUCUAGAAUUUUUGAGGAUUACCUUUUUGAUUACUAGUUCCAUGCAAAGAUCUCCAGCCAAAUACAUGUCACUUUUUAUUUGAUCACAAAGAUGCUGUUUAAAGAAAGCCUUAUGGAAGUAAACUCUCCAUAUGAUGGAGCCACAACCUUCACAUCCUCCAUAACUAGAAAUAUGGAUAUCCUCAACCUUUUUCAUUAGGGUUUUGUCCUAAAUACGACAUUCUAUAUAACACCAACAAAACUUUGGAUUCUCUUAAAAGAGUGCCUUAUUAUGCAUUUUUGAAACACUUCCCGAGUCUCUGAUCAUUAAUAUAAAGGUCAUUUCAGAACUUUAAACCUACUCCAGUGACUUUAAAUCUACUGAUAUUCCAUUUCACACUCAGUCUCAUUGAUACCUCUCCAAAUGGCUUAAUGUUAUUUUCCUAGCUAUCACCCAUCUCCUCUUCACCAGUUGGUAGUCCCCUUCCAUAAGUUCUCUUUCUUCACCAAAGUGGCAAAGCAAAUUACAAGGAGUUGGAAAUUAUUGAUUAAGCAUCAAAAUGUCACUCAGUAACUGAAAUAUAGUUAAAUUAGUUGCAUUUGCAAGAAAAUACAAUUGGAUCUUCAUUUCUUUUGCCGCUACAACAGAUUCAGGAAAAAGGAGUCAUGUAGUAUAUAGGUUCAAUAGGUGUAGGCCUUCCAUAGAAGAGUAUCUUAUCUUCCAAGUGAUGAGGACUCCCCACAAAUAUUUCAAUUGCCAGGUCUCACUGAAAACAGAUGAGGAAAUGCUGCCUAUCGGGGCCCAAUGUACAAAGUGAAAAGGGUGCCCAAUUAAAUCCUUUGGUCAAGACAGAGUCUAACUCUGUGAAUUAUGUCCUAGCCAGUCAUCAUCUAUACCAAGCUUCACGUUGGCAUAACUUCAUAGCAUCUAAGAAAAUACGCCCUAUUAUUUUUCUUUAUUUCAUUAUCCUUGAACAAAAUGAGAAUAUUUUUGGCAUACUUCAAGUGAGAUAGCCUAGGCUCAUAAACAAAUUUGUAGCACCUUUUGUCCACCUCUUGUCCUCAAAUAUCAACCUAAUAAAAGCAUUCCUUUCAACAUUAAAAAUGUAGGAUGGAGUGUGAGUGUGCAACACUAAACCUAUCAAGUUUAGCCAUUAUUACAAAGUAAUGCAAGUAUUUCUAAGCGUGAAAGAUAUCCAUGAUCUCACUAUCUUUUUUCAUCAAUGACUUUUUCCAACUCUAUCUUUCAUAUGACUCCAACAAUUUCAAAAGGUUGGAGAGUGCUGCCUAGCAAGCAAGAAUAUAAAACAAAUCAUCUAUUAUCUUUAACAGAUGAUAAAAUAUUGUGGUAGCACAAAGGACCUCCACUUGUGUAAGUGACUCAAAUAGCAACCACCUCAAAAGCCAAGAAGUACUAAAGACUGGCAUAGAACCCUGAUUAUCUUGCAUUAGUUUCUUUUUCUAGGUUGAAAUUUUAGCAUUAGACAGGCAUGUAUGUGUCUUUGGUUAUAUUGUUUUUCUUUUUUCUUUCUGUAUCAUCACUAAGAUCACUUACUCAACUGAUUCUGUUUGAGUUUGUAUCUGUAUUUCCUUUAUUUGGUUAGAGCAUUUAGUUGGAUCAAUUAAUUUAAUGAUCGAAUAUUUAAACAUUUUAAAAAAAUUCCUUAAUACUUAUCAAGCCAUGGGAACCACUAAUAACUUUAAAAGUACACAUGAAAAGUAACGUUUGAUUUUUCCUCAGAAAAAAAAAAGUAAUGCUUGGUCACAAAUUUUGCAUAGCACUAGUCUAAAUACCUGGCCAUGUAUAGUAUGUAGUUGGAGAUAGCAAUCCUUUUCUUGUACUCAGUUAUUAUUAGACCUUGAAGUUUAGGUGUUCUAUGUUUAUUUCUUGAUUUCUUUUUGUUUUAAUCCUAUCAUGUAGUGUGUUUGUUAUCAUGUCAACAAUCAAUAGUUCACCUCCUUGAAAGGUUAGUGACAGUUGCCAAUAAUUCUGAUGCUUGUUAAGGUGUUCAAGUCUCUAAAAGACCUAAGUACAUGAUGAUUGAACAUUUUAUUCUCAAUGAAAAAAAUAAUGCUAAUAUGGCUUUUAGCGAGUAUGGUAAAAAGGUUUGCUCAUUUAAGUCCCAAAAUAGAACUAGCCUCUCUAUAACCAUGAUCACUUAUGUCCAGUAAGACUUCAAAUCAAGGUCUGCGGAAUCGUCCCGAACUACCCGAUUCGAGGCGUCUGAGUCGUACCGAUGGCGGAUUGGGAUAGGUUCGCCAUUGAAACCAAGAUGCCUCUCACCGUCACUAGAGGGGGAAGAGAACAAAAAAGAGAAAGAGAGAGAGAGCGGGAAAGGGAGGGACAAGAAGAGGAAGGAAGAGAGGCCGGCCGACAGAGGCCCGGGAGCUUCCACGCAGAGGAGGUGGAGGCUGGGGAGACGCGGAGACAGGACAAUGGGUUUGCUGACUUCAACUUAAAAAAUACAAAAAUAAAAGGGGCCCCACCUCCGCGUCUCCCCGGCCUCCACCUCCUCUGCACGGAGGCUUCCCAACAUUCGCCGGUCGGUCCCGGCCGGCCUCUCUCUUCCUUCCUCUCCCUCUCUCUCCCUCCCCCACUCUCUCUCUUUUCCUCACUCGUUCUCCCUCUCGCCCGUCUCUUCUAUGGUGUCGGUAUGGGCCCGGCCUGGCACAGCAUAGGCCCGUACCGACUCGUCCCGCCAGACAACCAGUACCGGUUUCGCCAUCCUUGCCCCAAAUUGUAAGCUCAACAACUUCUAAGGUCAAACAUAAAUGUGCAAGAUGGUAGUCGGGGGGUAGUGAAUUUGCAACAAAUAGGUAUCAUCCUCUUUGAAGUUGCACGGAGAGGACCUUAUAGAGAUGAUAGUAUUGCCAAAAUUUUCUUUUAAGAUGGUUGAAGAUCUUAUUUUUCCAUAAUUUUCUAUAAAGCCUCAGGCCAAAAUUUAAGUUUUUCUAAAAGACCAUCGAGCUUAUUAGUGGCUCAAGUUCUUAAGUUCCAGAUCAUGCUAAUCUGUGCUGACUAGUACAUAUGUCCUAAUUAGACAAGUAACAUUUCCUCUAACUGACCAAAUAGCACAACCCCACCCAGACUUGGAACCACAUUUUCAAGAAACUUCAGAUUUAACUUGUUCUCUUGAUAGCCCAAUUCAAUGGAGAAAAGGUGAACAUUAGGUAUUGAGGUAAAAUCAAGAGAACAUAAUCAAGAAAGACUAGACAACCUCUAGUAGACAAGCAUUUUGCUUUCCAAACAUCAAGCCUCAUAUCUAUAGUAGGGGGAGGCCAAUCUGCCUUCUUAAGCUUGUUGGCAUGUAAACCCAAUGAGGCAAAAGCUAUCAAGUUGAAAAUUAUGAAUGAUGGCCCAUAGUAAAUCUUUUCCCUCUCCCGAGCCAAAGUAAUGAGAGUGCUUUAAUCAAAUUUAUUUAAACCUGAAGCUAACUCAAAAGAGUAGAGGAAGAGUUUAAUUAUGAAAUUUAGGAAUGAUCGACUUCACAAAAUAGAAAUAUAUCAUUUGCAGAUUGGAGGAGUUUAGCUCUUUCUUCCUUAAAGUCUGGCCUAGAUCAGGGAAUAAAUGAUCAUUAGCAGCUUGGUUGAUUAUACUCCAAGAACUUCAGUAAGUAGCAAGAAAAGGAUGAGGGGUAAUGGAUCGCUUUGCUUGAAGCCUUUGUGAAAAGUAAGCCACCUCGCUGGUUUGUCAGCACCACAAACUAUGCUCAAUCAGAUAGGUUUUUUUCUAACUCAACUUUGUUUUGAAAUCCCAAAACUACCCAGAUAAGGCACAAUUACUAUUUCUAGUAUAAUAGCACGAAUGAUACUAGCGAACAAUGUACUACAUUAUUAACGAUUGAGAUGCAAUAACUCAAUCUCUAAUUAAAAACUAAAAUAUGAAUAAAAGCCUAAAAACUGAAAAUAAAUCUAAUUUCUAUAAGCAAAUGUAUUGAGAUCUUGCCCUUCUUUUCUUCUAGUCCUUUCAUUUUUUUUCAUUUUUAAGUCCUCUUCAACCAUCAUUGCUGUUAUCCAUAUACAGUAAUUAAGAUAACUGCUCCUGUAGCAUGCUGCCAAAGGAAGUGGUGAUGACAGAGAAAAUACGUGGGCGUUUUCAGCCUUGUCCCCUUGGGUUUAGGAGCAGAAUCUCCCCAAGAACAACCUAUGGUAGUAUGGAAGUUCUGACCUUACCACUUUAAUAUGUAAACAACCCAAACACUGGCCCAUAAUACAGCCCCAGGUAGUGAAGAGACUAGAGCUAACUUGGGAAGAGCAGGCCUGGCUUCAGUUGCCAUAGCAUUAUGAAGCAAGUGUAGAUAGCCGAAGACAAGUCAAAGAGCUAACAACAAAGGAAAGAGGCAAAAGCUCAUUCAUAUCGUUUUGCUUCUACAGCAGAUUUAACUUGGACAUCGCUCCCACUUCAAUUAUAUUAAGACUUCUCAGCAGGUUUUGGUUUUGCUUCUUAUAUAAUAUGGAAAUUUAUUUUAUCUCUAAGCAAGUUUGAAUAACUUGACAUAGUUUGAUGGAAACUACAAAAAUAAAGUCUAGGUUUUAGGACAACGGCUAAAGUGAUAUUUGAGGUAAAGUGCUUAAUCUUUUACAUAAUCCAAGAAUUCUUAGUUAAUCUUAAAAGCCACAUCUUUGUCCCUUGUUAAAACCUUAUCUUUCAUCCUUCUCCCUUCUCUUAGGUUGCUCCUCCAUGUGAGUGGUAAAUGCUUGCUAAGGAUAGGUGCAUGGUAAAUCAGACAAUGAAAGGGAUUACAUAUUUAGAGAGCACAAUGGUAGGAUAUCUACAUCAAAGAGACAACCAAUCUGCUAGAGCCAUUUUCAAAGUCAGGGUCAUAACUAAAGUGAGCAACUUAUAGUAAUGCCCAAAUCUCUCAAGAGAUUAUCCAUAACAAAUAUCACCAUGGAAAUUAGAGAAUGGUAGGUAUAGACAUAUGGCACUUCCUCAAGUUCAUGCUUGCUAUUAUGGUCGAACUUCCAUCCAUUUAAUAUUUAAAACAUUUUGAUGCCAGUACAAGCAAAAUUUGUAACUUUUCUCAUGGUUUCCACUCUCUGCAUGUUGGUCCUCGCACCUCUUACUUCAAAAAUCUUCUAAGAUGUAUCAUGAGCAGACCUUCAUAGAGUCUUCGAAAGGCAAGAAAAGUCAUUUUAUUAUAUCUUGAUGGAAAUCAUUCCUUGAUUUUGUCAACACCAGAUUAGGCAGCUAUGGGUAGCUAUACAAUCCCAUGUGAUGGAAAUUGAAUGAGAUUUGAAUUGCUUGUCAUAUUUAUGGCACUGGUGUGCUUGAUAUAUAAGUUGAGCCCCUUGACAAUGGGGACCAGAGAUAUGGUAGAAUGCAACAAAAAAAAUCCCAUGAUUAUGGAAAAGAUACUAGGAACCUAAUAUAGUAUAAUACAAUAGCAAAAUUCCAUAACUUCGUACAUAUACUAAAUUUGAAUAUGACAGCCGGAUCCCAAAAUUUUUAGAGAUUGCUUUGAGCUAAUAUACCAAGAUUGUGCAUGCAAUAUAUGGCAGUUGUGAUAUCCAAGUUUGUACAUACUGUAAUGGGCAAAAUUGUGCAUGAUUCAACAACUGUAAUACUCCCCCUCAAGUUGGGGUGUGUAUCCGUAAUGCCCAGCUUGCCUAACAGAUAAAAAAAAUGAUCAUGACCCCAAGCCUUGGUAAAAAUAUCGGUACACUGGUUGUCACUUCGAAAGAACUUGGUCUGUAUUGUGCCUACUUAUUGUUUUUCGUAGGUGACAUGACAAUCUAUUUCAAUGUGUUUUGUCUGCUCAGGGAAUACAGGGUUGGCAGCAAUAUGAAGUGCUGCUUGGUUAUCACAAUAGAGAGACAUAGGUUAAGGGUGGUGAAUAGCCAAAUCAAAAAGUAGAGUUUUACGCCAAAUUAAUUCAUAAGUGAUAGAGGCUAUUGAUCGAUAUUCAGCCUUAGUGGUGGAGCAAAAGACAGUACUUUGUUUUUUUGUAAGUCAUGAAAUAGGACUAUCACCGAUAAAGUUGCAAUAACUUGUGACAGAAUGGCGAGUAGUAGAACAAUUCACCCAAUCAGCAUCACAAUGGGCAUUGAGUGAAAGUUGUUCGAAGUAGGCAUGAGGAUACCAAAACCGGCGUGAUUUGAGAUAUCAUAUGACUUGAAUAGCAGCAUGGGGUUGGAUGGUGCCUGCAUAAACCGACUAAGAAGAUGGGAAGCAAAGAUAAUGUCUAGAUGGAUGAUUGUGAGAUAGAUCAAACGACCUAUCAAAUGUCUAUAUGGUCCAAGAUCAUACAAAAGUUCUCCAACAUCAUGUGAUAAUUUUAAAUUUUGCUCCAUCGGAGGGUAUGCUGGUUUAGCACUUAGAACAGCUGCAUCUUCUAGAAUAUUUAAGGUAUAUUUCUAUCAAUGCCCAAUAAGUAUUUAAGUGUGCUAAGAUCUUUGAUUGGAAAUUGAUCUUGAAGGAAGAAUUUAGUGAAAGCAAUGAAAGAAGGAUCACUACCAGUAAUGAGUAUAUCAUCAACAUAAACAAGCACAAUAGUGAUGCUGUCCUUGGAUUUGAGGGUAAAAAGUAAAUAAUCAGCAACUGAUUGAGUGAAACUAGCCUAGAGUAGUACUGUGGAGAAUUUGGAAAACCAGUUAUAGAAGGCUUGUUUAAGACUAUAUAAGGAUUUGUUGAGUAAACAUACUAAUUAUUCUCCUUUCUCCCCCUAUUGAGAAAAAUUUGAUGGCAAUUGCAUGUAAACUUCCUCAUUUAAAUCGCCAUAGAGGAAGGUAUUAUUGACAUCAAGCUAAUAUAAAGGCCAAUUUUGGCAACUGCAAUGGCAAUAAGAUAAUGAGUUGUGACCAAUUUGACAACAGAAGCGAAUGCUUUAUGGUAAUCUAUGCCUUUAGCUUGAGUAUAGUAUUUAGCAACAAGCCUCGCCUUUAUACCGUUCAAUACUACCAUUGGACUUGUACUUGAUUUUAUAUACCCAUUUACAUUUGAUGGCAUGUUUGCUUGGUGGAAGUGGCAUCACAGUUCAAGUGUGAUUAAGCUCUAAGGCCUUAAUUUCAUUGGCCAUAGCAUCACACCAUUGAGCAUGUUUCAUUGUUGAGGAGAAAGACUUGGGUUCCUAAGAAGAGAAAAUAGAAGCUAGAAAAACAUAGUGUGCUUUAUAUACAAGCUAAGCCACGGUCUUCUUCCUCACUAGCAUCCUAAUGAUGGUGUAUCAGGAGGCUAUCCCUUUUUUUGGCAAGGGCCUUCUCUGCCACCACUUUCUUUUUCUCUCCAAAGCUUGGCUAGCAUCCUUCCCAGCAAUAGGGAAUUUCUUUGGAGACAUCGAAGAUAUGAUCCUUGAUCGCCAUCAAGGGGGGCUUCCUAUUUUUUUUGCCGCUUUCAACAUUCAUCAAUUUGUUUCCAUUUUUUUCCUGCAAUAAUACACCUCACUCUUGGUUAACUUUUAUUUCCCACCACCGGGGCAGAAUAUCCUGAAUCCUCUACUAACUCUUCCACCAUUGCUUCAAAUAGCUCAACCUCCACUCCUCUCAUUGAUCCAAGUCUGUUCUCACCCUACACUAUCCACCUCUUUGACAACCCAAGUGCUACCCUUGUUUCCAAACCUUUGAUUGGUAAUAAUUAUCACAAUUAGUCAUGUGCCAUGAAAAUGGCUUUGAAUGCCAAAAAUAAAUUGGGCUUCAAAGAUGGGUCUCUUUCACGCCCACUCACCACAUCGCCCAUCUAUUCUUUAUGGAACUGUGUCAAUGACAGUUGUUUCAUUAACCCUGAAUGUGCUCUCUAUAGAAAUAUCAAACAGUGUUCUUCAUUAUUCGCUAGCCUAUGAAAUUUAGAAAGAUUUAGAAGAGUGAUUUUCACAAAGCAACAGACCAAGAACUUUUGAAUUGAUGCGUGAUAUCUCAACAAUCGAACAAGGCAACUCUUCUAUUGCUGUUUAUUAUGGAAAGCUUGAAUCUCCAUGGGACAAGCUCGCCGACUUGUCAAAGAUUGAUUCCUGCAUAUGUGGUGCAUCCUGAUCUAUGUCUCAAUUUGGGUUUUACAAAUGAUUGAUGCAAUCAUUAAUGAGACUCAAUGAAUCAUAGUCAUUUCUUCAUAGCCAAAUCUUGCUUACGAAUCCACUCCCUUCAAUAAAGAAGGUGUACAGUCUUUUACAAGAAGAAUGACACCAUUCUCUUUAUCCAACUUCCAAAACUCUUGUGGAAACUGCAGCCUUGGUUGCUUUUAAGAACCCCAAAAGAAGUGCACCUAAUCCUUCCAAGCCCCUAACAUGCCGUUACUGCAAGAAAGAAAAUCACAUAAUUGAAAAUUGUUACAAAUUGAAGAGCAAGUAAAAAAAUGAUGCCUCAGCUUCCCCUACACAAAAUCAAUCUCGGUCUUCCUCUUUUGCUGUCAAUAUUCUUGGUUUUUCCACUCCUAUGCAACUUGAUCCUAAUGGAUCUCGUGUUGCUCCCACUGUUCCAGCCUUUACACCUGAGCAACAUACCAAGCUACUCGCUUUGAUUUCUCCAAGUACCACAACACCAAUGGCCAAUGUUGUAGGUAUGCUUCUAGCUUGUUUCUCUAUCUUUCUAGACUGUGGGUGAUUGAUAAUGGAGCCACUGAUCAUAUGGUGUCUGAUUCCUCCCUUCUAAUCUCUUCUACUAUCUUAGAUUCACCUAAAAAGGUAGCUCUCCCUAAUGGAAACGAAACUGGCAUUACAGUAUUACACAUAUAGGAACAACAAACCUCAACUCUUCUUUAUCCAUAAACUAUGUUAUUUGUAUUCCAUCCUUUCAACAUAAUCUUCUCUCUGUUAGUAAGCUCACAAAUGAAUUGUGCCCUUAUUUUCUAUCUUGAUAAAUGUGUUUUGCAAGACUUAUCAAUGAAGAUGGAGAUUUGUUUGGGUAAAGAGCAGGGAGGCCUUUACAUUUUUUUCAACCUGAUUUUGGUUUUGUUGCUGCUCUUUCGGUCUCUCUUCAGUCCUUUGAUCUUUCGCAUUUUCGUUUAGGCCGCGCAUCUUCAUUUUGGCUAUUUUGUUUAUCCAAAAGUAUUCUUGAUGUAUCCUUUUCAAAUAAAUAUUUGUGUCAGGUUUGUCCCAUUGCUAAACAAACAAGGUUGUCUUUUCUUUUAAGUUCAAUUUUCAUCUGUUGCUCCAUUUGAAUUUAUCCAAUUGAUAUUUGGGGUGCUUAUCAUGUUAAAUCUCAUUCUGGUGCAUCUUACUUCUUAACUUUUGUUGAUGAUUUUUCUUAUGCUACAUGGGUUUAUCUAAUGCAACAUAAAUCUCAAUCCUGGCAUUAUAUCCAAACUUUAAUCUCACUUGUUAAAAUCGAGCACAACACACAUUAAAAAAAUAAGGACCAACAAUAGUAUCAAUUUUUUUCAUCACGAACUUCAAUAUUUUCUACACCUUGAAGGCAUCAUUCAUAAACAUAGUUGUGUUGAGACACCCCAACAACAUGGGGUCGUAGAAUGCAAACAUAGACAUUUACUUGAAGUUGCCUGUGCCUUGCAAUUGCAGGCUCACCUUCCUCUUGAUUUUUGGGGUGAAUGUAUUCUUACAGCAAAUUACCUGAUUAAUCACAUUCCCUCUCCAAUUUUAUCCAAUUGUUCUCCAUAUGAAGUUUUAUUUGGUACUCGACCUAGUUACGCUCACCUUAGGGUUUUUGAUUGCCUAUGUUUUGUCUCUAACAUCCAUAAGAAACAUAAAUUUGAAGCUUGUGCUAUUCCUGGUAUUUUUGUGGGUUAUCCUUUUGGACAAAAAGCAGAUCAUGUAUAUGACACCCAAACAAAAUAAAUAUUUACAAGUAGACAUGUCCGUUUCUUUGAAAAUAUUUUUUCUUUUCAACACAUUCCACCAAGUUCUCUUUCUCCUAAUCCAAUCUUGCCUCUUCCUGCAAAUGAUCUUGCCCUUAACUCCACUUCUUCUGCAGCAACAUCUCCCAUCCAAGCCACUAUUCUACAUGACAACAUGACUUCAUCUCCUAACCAUGAGUUUUGCUCCACCACACCUAUGUCCCCCAUCUAUAUCCUUGUCAACCUCAGACCCAUCACCUUCUCCAAGUCAUUUUCUAGCAUCACCUCAUAAUGUUAAACUAACCCCUCAGCAUCAUUCUAUCCGUCCUACCAACUGACCUACCUACCUAAAUGAUUAUUAUUGCUCGAUCUUCCAAAGGCAUCUAUCUUUUGCAACAAAAAUAUACUUUAAAAAUUCUAAAAGAUAUGGAUCUUUUGGGAGUUAGAACUGUUGAGACUCCUAUGGAGCAACAUCUAAAACUCAUAGACUCUGAUGGUCAAUUGCUUGAUGAUCCUUCUUCAUACCACCGCCUCGUUGGCCGACUAAUCUACCUCACACUUACUUGGCCCAACAUUGUCUACUCCAUAUUCUUAGUCAAUUUAUGCAUCAACCCCACAAGCCUCAACUUGAUACCGCCUUCCGCUUUCUUUGCUAUCUUAAAGGGACCCCUAGCCAAGGUAUUCUUCUUCUAGUUCUCUUCACCUCACAGCUUAUUAUGAGGCAUUUUUCUUGGUUCUCCUAUUUCUUGGAAGACAAAGAAACAAGUCACUAUUUCGAGCUCCAUUGCCAAAGCCAAGCAUCACACCAUGGCUACGACGGCCUAUGAGAUGCAAUGGUUAAAAUACUUGCUCCAUGAUCUAGGUAUCACUCAUUCUGCACCUAUGACAUUGUAUUACGAUAAUAAAGUUGCUCUGUAUAUUGCCGCCGAUCCCAUAUUUUAUGAAUGUACGAAGCAUAUCGAAUUGGAUUGUCAUUUCAUUCAUAAGAAAAUUCAAUCAGGCCUACUCCAUACCAAGUUUGUUUCAUCCACUCAUCAGUUAACUGAUGUUUUCACUAAAGCCUUGGGCAAAGAUGCAUUCCAUUUCAUUGUCAGCAAGUUAGGCGUUCUGAACCUCCAUGUGCCAAUUUGACGGAUAGUGAUAGAAAUCAUUCCUUGAUUCUCUCAGCACCAAAUUAGGCAAAUAUGAGCAGCUAUACAAUCCUAUGUGAUGGAAAUUUGUUCCUUAAUUUCUUCGGCCAACCAUGCAACCGGAUUAGGAAAAUAUUGUCAGCUAUGCAAUCUCAUAUGAUGAAAAUCAUUCUUGAUAUGGCUAGCUAUGUACAUAUUUGUAAAGAUUUUCCUUAUGUGGAUCGUAUCAUUGAUCAAUUGUGCUUAAUCCCUCUGAUGCAGAGAUAUUAAUCCCUUUGAUGUAGGGAUAUUGAUCCCAUACGAAAUAUAUAAAAGCAUACAUGCUAUCAUAGCUAAUGAAACUCAAGCCUUUUUGCCACAAAUUUCUUCCUUAACACAUUUGUUAUUUUCUUAUAGUGUUUUUUCUCAUAAAGCUCCACUAUCAUAUAAAAUACACAUGAACUCACCCCAAGAUCCUAGUGUCAAGUAUUUACGCAAGAUCCUCCCAUCCAAAUGAGCCUACAUUUGUCAUUCAGACAUUGUUUGAAGCAAGCCCAACCCACCAUAAAUCUUAUUGUUUACAAUCUAAUCAAAUACCACUUAGAACUACCGCUGUCCAUGCACUCAAAACUCCAAUCAUCUCCAUUGAACUUACUUUGUACAGUGGAUAGGAUUUAUUCACAUUAUGAAAUUAUCUGAGACUCAAAAUAGAUCCUUCCUCAACUACUAAUCAAGUCUGAGACUUGCUUUCUGAACAGUAAGUUAAUUAUCAACAACAUGAUCUCCCAAUUAAGACACAGGCUUAUCUUCUGAUCAUGGAGCCAGCAUUGUCAUUUGAGCUAGUAUUAUACAGUUAUUUUGAUCAUUUUAUUUCAUCUUGUACAGCAGAAGCAAAGAAAGAUAACAGAGUUCACAAGAAUUCAACACCGACAGAUGUUCAAUACUCAAAAAUUGGUUAAUGCUAAUUGGAUCUGAGAGGUAUCACUUGCUCCAAACUCCAUUUCCGACAUGCAUCUCAUGUGCAUCAACCCAAACACAUGGUCUUCUUGAAUAUUAAAACAGUAACUACUACAGGAACAAUAUAAUCUCAGUUGAAUAACAUCUAUUAUAGUACACUAUUUAAAUGACAACUCAAGAAAGGUUCAGAUAGUAGUGCAAGAAAUUAACAACACCAAAACGAUAAAGUGAGACAGGAAGGAUCCAUAACCCAUUAAAAGUUCAGAAUUCAAAGAAGACUGCGAGGAAUUAAGAAUACCAAUGAACGAAAAGGCGAUAAAGCAAGGACCUUUUGGAUGAAUGGGAGGAGAUCAGAGGUUGCAGAGUGGAUGUAGUUCGAUAGCUGUGGAUGCCGUGCCUUGUGGACCACCACAUUCAUAUACCUCCUCCUCUCGAAUGCCCCUUUUUCCCAUUAAAACAAACAAAAAAGAAUUAAAAUAGGAGAGAACAAGCACAAUAACAAAGAGAAAUACAUCUAAGAGAGACGAAAUUGGGUACCAGGGGGAUAAAAUCCUUUGAGGAAUACGAUGGAGGUUAUGGCCACCUCCAAAAACUCCACCACCACUCGAGCCGUCUCUCCUUUUUAAGAACAACGACGAGAAGAAGGAAAAAGGUGAGACCUUUUCUAUAGGACACAGAGGAGAACGAGAGCAAAACAAAGAAAUAAGAGAGAUUAGGGUAUAGACCACCUUGAGGAGAAGGGUUUUUGCGAUCCAUGGGGCACGGAGAAGAGGGUUGAAGGAGCUGAAGAAAUGGAGCGCUCGCAGGGGCAUUUGUGGAAGGCGGGGGGGAAAUGAGGGACGUUUUGGAAAGUCCGGAUCUUGCGGAUGAUUUGCGUCUAAUCUCUGAAAUGGAUCCGGAACCCGUCUGAACCUUUUUGGUUUCAUGGUGGAAGUGGUCCAUAACUCCAUGCCAUCCAUCCAUAUAUUCUUUGCGGAGAAAAAAACAGCAAUCUAAUCACUGAGGUGGUAGCUUAAUAGGAGUGUGGCCUUACUUUCAACCAAGUGGUUCCGCGUUCGAAACGCACGGGCGUCGAUUAAAUUAUGAAGACCGAAUGCUCUCUGCUCGGACACGGAGUCUGGAAGAGCGUAUCGCUCUGUUGGUAGCCUCGGUGGUGCCAGAUGUGACGUACUCACACGUAGUAUUCGUUCCCGAGCCAAGAGGGGUAACCGAACCGGGCCCACGGAUGAGGAAGGUAUGAGUAAAAUCGGCCGAAGUGCCGAACACAUGGUCAUUUUUGCCCGCAUUAAACAUUCUCCUGGCGGAGUGGGGGCUGCUACGCAGGGGUGGGCUUGUCCCUUCCUCCCCCUUCCCAUUUUUUCAGCAAAAAAAAAAAGCAAUCUAUUUGUAUUUUUGAGAAAUAUGUUCUUUUCAUUCAAUCUUUUAUCUUUUAGAUGAAAUAAUCCUUUAUUUGUAAAAUAUUUUCAUCCAAAAGAGAGAUGAUAAAUUUCUCUUUCUACAUACAAGCUGCAUAACUAAACAUAUGUAGAAUUGACCAUAGAAUUUUUUUACUUUUUUUACAUGAAAUUUGACCGUAAUUCUUUUAGAUGAAUAUAAUUAUGUAAAAAGAAUAUCUCAAUCAUACGAUAUUUUGUCGGGAUUUUCUCAAAAAUUUGUGGAUAAAGUGUUUUUUCCUAAUGUGUAUUUAUGUGUGUGGAGAAAUUAUUAGGUAGACUUAGUCUACCAUGUCAACUAUAGAUUAAACUAAUGAAUAUUAACCACGUUAGCCCGUUCUAGCUACUGCUGCCUUAAAAAUUAAUUAUGGUUAACCAUGGUUAGAAAAGCUAAAAAAGAAAAAUUACUGAAAGCCCUUUUUGUUCCUAAUCAAGUGAACUUCUCCUCCUUCCCUAACACCCCCGACCAGUGCUACCGAACCCUACAACGGUGAAGAUCUCGAACAGAAGGCACAGGUAGUCUGUGCCGGUGAGCUCAAGGGCACUGAGGCUAUCGAGAGCAGCAAAGCAAGGUGUGAUGUUGGGGCAGAAGGAUCGAGGAGUGCAGCGUAGCCCUCCCUGCCACCAGAUCACCACCAAAGUUCACACUGGUGAUCUGAAGUCGAAGGAGAAAUAAUGCGGAAGAUCACCUUAGCUUUCAUAUGCUUGGGCUAUUUGGCAAGUCCUUUGAUGUCCAUGCCAUGGCCACCAGAGGAGAAAGAAUGAGCAAGAACACCUUACUUUCAUGUGCUUGGAGGGGAUUGGUACUAGUUGGUUUUAAUGGGUUAUUCUUCCUCCUGUAUCUGCUUCAUCAACAUUCUGUCUCUUUGAUGGGAUUCGUUGGUUUCUAUAUUUAAGGACCUUAAGAAUUUGUGCUAUUUUCUAAGGAUGUACCAUAUGGUAGUUUCUUAGCAUCUAUUCUACAAUCCUUUGCAGAGAGAUUUUUGAAUUUGUUUCUUGAUGCCUGAAGGGGGGUCUUAAAGCUUUGAUUUAUUGCAUUUUGUUUUAUGUUGAUUUUGUAAUUUUAUCGUUGUCAAGAAACUUACUUUGAGGACGGCAGGUUGCCUCAAGGCUUGCAAGUUGAUCUACCAUGAAUUAGAGAUUUGCUAUUAAGGAGAUGGUUGUUAAUGGUGUUCAAAGGAUCAAGUUUUGUUUUAUCGGUAUGUGUUUUUAAUUUGAGUUGGAAGUACAGUGAACCUCUAAUUUCUAGACUUACUAGGGGAUCCUAUCUUGACAUCAAUUUCCAGUUUUAUCAACACACUUGAUGCUUGCAAGUUGAGAUGACUUGUGUGGUUCGGAUAGAGUUCUAGGCAUCUAGCUGCUACCCAUAUCUUCCACAAGCAUGAUAUCAAUACUAGGCAUCAAUUUAUUUAGUUUUCUUCUCUCCCAAACAUCCAGCUACUACAUGCGAGCUCGUUUUACUCCACCUUAAUAAGAGUAAAUUUCUCGUAUUCAUAGUUCAAAAAUAAAUAUCAAACCAGUAAUGUAAAAUGCUGAUGAUGAAAAGUGCAUAUCGCAAAAAAUCUCCAGCACUU